rnacentral:lncRNA from 1 species
UCUAAAAUGAAUACUUUAGACCUCGGGUUUAAUAAUCUCCAAGGACCGCUCCCAGUUCCGUCAUCAGUGUCAAUCUAUUCCUAUCUAGUUUCAAACAAUCAGUUGACAGGGGAAAUUCCAAUCCAAAUAUGCAGUUUGAAUGGUCUUCACGCUCUUGAUUUGUCUUACAACAACUUAAGUGGCAUGCUCCCAGAAUGUUUCGGUAAUUUCAGUGUUGAGUAGUCAGCAUUAAAACUGCAAGCUAACAACUUUUAUGGAAUCAUCCCUCAAACCUUCAUGAACGGAACAAAUCUGAUGAUGAUUGAUUUUAGCGACAAUUCAUUGCAAGGAAGAGUACCUAAAUCUCUAGCCAAUUGUGUGAAGCUAAAAUUUCGUAAUCUUGGGGAUAACCAAAUCACCGAUGUCUUCCCUUCUUGGUUGGGAACUCUUCCAGAGCUAGAGGUUCUCAUUUUGAAAUUCAACAACUUUCAUGGAGAAAUAGAGGAACCUCAAACAGGUUUUGAGUUUCCCAAACUACGCAUCAUUGAUCUCUCUCACAACAGGUUUACAGGUAAUCUUCCGUCAAAGCACUUCCACUGUUGGAAUGCCAUGAAAGAUAUCAGAGCAAGUAAGCUAACAUAUUUGCAGGUUAAACUGGUGCCGUAUGAUGUACUUGGGUUUACCUACUAUGGUUAUGCUGAUUACUCCUUAAUAAUGAGUAACAAAGGCACAGAGAUAGAAUAUCCCAAGCUGUCAAAUUUGAUCGCAGCAAUUAUUCUCUCGGACAACAAUUUUGUUGGAGAGAUUCCAACAUCAAUCGCCAGUCUAAAGGGGCUUCGGACUCUUAACCUUUCCAACAACAAUCUCCGAGGGUACAUUCCAUUAACUUUGAGUAACCUAACGGUCAUAGAGUCAUUAGACCUCUCUAGUAACAAGCUCACAGGACAAAUUCCUCAGUGUUAAGAUAGUCAAAUUGAGAUUAGUCACAUGCUGGUUUAAAUAGUUAGUUAAACGGAAUCUGUUAUACAUGUUGAUGUGGCUGCUUAUGUGGCAAAUUAGUUCAGUUACUAGCUCAGCUGUUUUGCAUGUAAACAGAAUGUAGAAUAUUCCAGAUCGUAGUAUAUAAACANNNNNNNNNNNNNNNNNNNNNNNNNNNNNNNNNNNNNNNNNNNNNNNNNNNNNNNNNNNNNNNNNNNNNNNNNNNNNNNNNNNNNNNNNNNNNNNNNNNNNNNNNNNNNNNNNNUAUCAGGAGGCCAGAUUCUAAUUGGCUGGUUUUAACUCAAAUCAAAAUACAACAUCCUCAUUUACAUUUACCUCGCCAGUUAAACUUGAUAGAACAAAUUACACAAUCUGGAAGUCUCAAAUUCUCACUUCAGUUCGUGCUAAUGGCCUUGAAGAUUUUCUCGACAACUCAAAACCUUGUCCAGAACAAUUCUCAUCUGAUGGAGUUAUAAAUUCUGAUUCUGAUGCAACUGAGAUCACUGUUGCUGAAGGAGUACGAGAGAAUCCAGCCUUUGCUAUCUGGAAACGAAAAGAUCAGAUGCUGCUGAGCUGGCUGAUGUCUGCUAUUAGUCUAGAGAUUCUCAGUCUGGUGGUAAAUUCUAAAACCUCACUUGAAAUUUGGAUUAGUCUUGAACAACAGUUUGGAUCUGAAACUUUUGCUAAAAAGGUGCAUCUGAAAAUUAUGCUUAACAAUCUUAGAAAAGGAGCUAUGUCCAUGACUGAAUUUUUUGGAAAACUAAAGACAGUUACUGAUGAACUUGCUGUGGCUGGUAGUCCUGUUAGUUCACUAGAUUUUCUUACUCAUUUGAUCAGUGGAUUAGGCCAGCCUUAUUAUCCAGUGGUAGUAUACAUUGAGGCAAAUCUUGCUAAGAUGUCUAUAAAUGAAGCCUAUUCUAUGCUUCUGACUCAUGAGGCUAGAUUAGAGGCUAAUCAGUUGAACUCUAGUAAAGAAGCUAAAAUGAAUUUUGCAGCUAAUGUUGCUCAAACUGGACAGAACACUAAAUCUGGACAGUAUAAUGCUAAUUGGAACAAAAAUCAAAAUGGUAAUGGUAAUGGAGGCAGAGGAGGUUUUGGUAGAGGUUUUUCACAGGGUCAAGUAAGAGGAAAUUGGAAUGGUAAUUGGAAUAAUGGCUGGAAUGGAGCAUCACCUGGUAACUAUCAAGGCAGAGGUGGUUUUGGUUCUGGAAAUGGAAAUUUUGCAAAACCUGGUGGUUUUCCUAAUAGUAAUGGGAGAGGUAGUUCUGAUCCUAACUCUGCUGGAGUAAUCUGUCAAAUCUGUUUCAAACCUAAGCACACUGCAGCUGAGUGUAGAAAUAGGUUUAAUAGAGAGUUCAUACCUUUCAACUCUUCAUUUGGAUAUAACUCAUAUCAGUAUCAAGUACCAAGACCUGCAUAUGCUAACUCAGCACCUAGAGCUGCUUUUGUGGCUGCCUCUGAAGGUGAUUUUGCUGAUCAAGGGUGGUACAUAGACAGUGGUGCAACUCAUCACCUCACCAACAAUCUACAGAAUCUGAGUCUUGCAAAGGAAUACUCAGGUAAUCACUUGUUGCAUGUUGGCAAUGGUCAAGGGCUGCAUAUAUCACAUGUUGGUUACACUGAUCUUCAUACAUCAUUAGACUCCAUCUUACACUUAAAAGAUAUUUUGUUUGUUCCUCACCUUACCAAAAAUCUUAUAAGCAUCUCAAAGCUACUUGAAAACAACAACUUAACUAUUGAAUUUGUUGCCAAUAUGUGUUUCAUUAAGGACCAGAAGAAGGGAGUGCAUCUUGCUCAAGGGAUUGCUAGAGGAGGGCUAUAUCAGUUACUGUCAAAAAAGGAUUUCAUUUCCAGUUCUCACAGUCCUUCUCAGAUUCCUAGUUCCAUGCUUUCUGUUUUGAAUAAUUCAGCUUGUAAUCUCUUAGAUGAAACUACAAAUAAAACCUGUACAAACAAUAUUUUGUCUGCAAAUUUGUUGCACCAAAGGUUUGGUCAUCCAAGCAAACAUGUGUUAAAAUGUAUUCUAUCUUCUCUUUCCCUUCCUUGUCUAACAUCAAUACCUGAUUUUUGUGAUGCUUGUCAAUAUGGUAAAAUCCAUCAGUUCCCUUUUUACUCAACAGGAAUAAAAACAAAAGCUCCUUUAGAGCUAGUCCAUACUGAUCUCUGGGGUCCAGCACCCAUGCUUUCACUACAGGGUUAUAGAUACUACAUAAGCUUUGUAGAUGAUUAUAGUAGGUAUUGUUGGAUUUUUCCUUUAACCCUCAAAUCUGAAGCCUUAGCUACUUUCAAACACUUCAAAACCCUUGUUGAGAAACAAUUUGAUCAUCCUUUAAAGUCACUACAAUCUGAUUGGGGAGGUGAAUACAGAAAUUUUGUACAUUUCCUUCAAGAAGAAGGCAUAGAGUUUAGACAUAGUUGCCCUCAUACACAUCACCAAAAUGGUGUGGUAGAGAGGAAGCAUCGCCAUAUUGUAGAAACAGGGCUGACUUUACUUGCUCAGGCAAAAAUGCCCUUAUCUUUUUGGUGGGAAUCAUUUCAUACAGUUUCUUUUCUUAUCAAUAGGUUGCCAACACCUAUUUUGAAUAAUACUUCUCCUUAUACCAAGCUCUAUGGCAGAAAGCCUGAUUACCAUUUCCUCAAAACCUUUGGCUGUUCAUGCUUUCCUUUUCUCAGACCUUACAGUCAGCACAAGUUUAACUUUCAUACACGAAAAUGUCUCAUGAUUGGUUAUAGCCCUCUUUACAAAGGCUAUAAGUGUCUUGAUUCUACUGGCAAAACUUAUAUUGCCAGACAUGUUAAGUUUAAUGAAUCUGAAUUUCCAUACUCCAAUCUUUUUCCUUCAUCAGAUUCAAAUGUGUCCUCAGUUCAGCAAAGUCAUUUUUCUAGUCCAUUCAUUUCUUCCAACAUCCUACUCAAUGACAGUAACUGUGCACAGCCUUCUCUACAUCCUCCAGCUCAGGAUGCAGGCCCUGAUUCAGGUAUCUUACAGACACUCUCUUCAUCUCAUUCUUCAGACACACCUCUUCAUGCAGUACACCACAUCAACCAUCUCUUUCUAUUCAGUUACCAUCAGUAUCUACUCUUGCACCUCAACCAACUCAAAAUAUCCAUCCCAUGCUCACCAGAUCCAAAGCUGGUGUUUUUAAGCCCAAAACUUACUUGGCUGUUACUCAACACCUUGAACCACAUUCAGUUAAAGCAGCAUUGGCUGAUUUCAAGUGGAAACAAGCUAUGCAGGCUGAGUUUGAUGCCUUGCAGAAAAAUAGCACCUGGAUUUUAGUUCCUAGAGAAAAAGCUGGAAAAAUUGUUGGCAACAAAUGGGUUUUCAGGGUGAAGUAUAACCCUGAUGGUAGUAUAUCCAAGUAUAAAGCAAGGUUGGUGGCCAAAGGCUUCCAUCAAACACAAGGAGUAGACUUCUUUGAAACAUUUAGUCCAGUUGUAAAGCCUUGCACAAUAAGAAUCAUUCUGAGUCUUGCUGUCAUGAAUCACUGGCCAAUUCGACAGCUGGACAUUAAUAAUGCUUUCCUUAAUGGCAUUCUUACUGAAGAGGUCUUUAUGCAUCAGCCUGAAGGUUUCAUUCAUCCUCAAUUUCCAUCUCAUGUCUGUAAGCUUACCAAAGCUCUCUAUGGUCUUAAGCAAGCUCCAAGAGCUUGGUAUGACCGAUUGAAACUCUCUCUGUUGAAUUGGGGUUUCAUUGCUUCAAAAUCUGACACUUCAUUGUUCAUUUUUCACAAAGCAAGGGAUAUAGUUGUUAUUUUAGUUUAUGUGGAUGACAUCUUGGUGACUGGUUCUAAUGUUCAGCUUGUUGAAAAAGUUAUUCAGCAUUUAAGCUCAGAGUUUGCUUUGAAGGAUCUGGGGGAAUUCAACUACUUUCUUGGUCUUGAGGUUACACCUUCAGUUGAAGGUUUACAUCUUUGUCAAACAAAAUAUGUAGGUGAUAUUCUUAAGAAAGCACAGAUGAUUGAGAGCAAAGGCUGUUCCACUCCAAUGAGUUCUACAGAGAAGCUAGUCAAAGAUAAGGGUGCUUCUUUUGAAAAUCCCUCUCUCUAUAGAAGUAUAGUUGGCUCAUUACAGUAUCUUACUCUUACUAGACCUGAGAUUGCCUUCACUGUAAAUAAGCUAAGUCAGUUUCUUGCCAAUCCAUCAGUGCUUCAUUGGCAAGCAUGUAAAAGAGUUCUGAGAUAUUUGCAAUGUACAGCUGAUCUUGGUUUACAGUUUUAUGCCUCUGGUUCACUCACACUUUCAACCUUCUCAGAUGCUGAUUGGGGCUCAGAUUUAGAUAAUAGAAAGUCAGUUGGGGGAUAUUGCAUUUAUCUGGGGAAUAAUCUGAUCUCAUGGUCAUCUAAGAAACAACCUAUAGUCUCAAGAAGCACAGCUGAGUCAGAAUACAGAGCAUUAGCAUUGGCUGUCUCUGAAACUUUGUGGAUCACUAACUUGCUGCAAGAGUUGAAAGUACCUUUAUUACAAACUCCAGUUAUCUACUGUGAUAACAAGAGUGCAGAAGCUUUAGCAAGUAACCCCAAGUAUCACUCCAGAACCAAACAUAUUGAGUUAGAUUUACACUUCAUUCGGGAUCAUAUAGCUCAGAAAGAACUGCAGAUCAGUCAUGUUCCCAGCUAUGAUCAAGUGGCAGACAUUUUUACAAAACCUUUAGCUUUUGAUCAAUUUAACUAUCUCAGGUCCAAGCUCAAUGUGCUUACACGACCUUGAGCUUGAGGGAGGCUGUUAAGAUAGUCAAAUUGAGAUUAGUCACAUGCUGGUUUAAAUAGUUAGUUAAACGGAAUCUGUUAUACAUGUUGACGUGGCUGCUUAUGUGGCAAAUUAGUUCAGUUACUAGCUCAGCUGUUUUGCAUGUAAACAGAAUGUAGAAUAUUCCAGAUCGUAGUAUAUAAACAUGUGUAACUAAUCAAAUGACAGUAUGAAUAAUAUACAAGUUCUUUCAUCUAUGCUUCUCUGAUUUUCUUUUUCAUUUUCUUAGUAAACAAACAAAUCUAUCAUUCUUAAUUCUCAGCAACUAGCAGAGCUCACAUCCCUUGCAUUCUUUGAUGUGUCACACAACCAUCUUAGGGGAGCAAUACCACAAGGGACGUAGUUCAUCACAUUCACAAAUGAUUGGUUUGCUGGAAAUCUAGGAUUGUGUGGAGAACCUUUGUCUAGAAAAUGUGGAAACUCUGAGGCCUCACCAGCAGAAGAUGAUCCACCCUCAGAAUCUGUACUCGCAUUUGGCUGGAAGAUAGUUCUAGCAGGGUAUGCAAGUGGGACAAUAAUAGGAGUUGUACUUGGGCACAUCUUCUGCACAAGAAAGUAUGAAUGGCUUAUAAAGACUUUUCGACUGCAACCGGAAAGUAAUGGAAGGAGGAGAAGACAUAGGCACAGAAUGUAAUUAAUUAGCUUUUAUUUAUUUUAUGAAUUACUCUGUAAAGACUUUAAAAUUCAUGUAGAAAAUUUUCUUUUUCUUCCAAUUUCAAUAAAUCUCUUUAUAUUAUCGUUCUAUUAUUAUGAUUUCACACUUAGAGCCCAUUUGAAAUUAUUUUUGAGAGGUUUAAAGGUGAUUUUAAAAAAUUAAAAAUUAAUUUUAGCAAUUGAUAAAUUUAUUUAAAAAUCAUUUUUGACAAAACCACCUUAUCCUGUGACAGAGAGUAGCUUUUCGAAAUCUGAUUUUAAAAAUCAGUUUUAUACUUAAACAAUUUCAUAUAUAUCCUAAUAUAUGUUAUAAAAAUCCAAAAUUAUCUUUUAUUCAAUUAGGAAAUAAAAUCAUUACAUUUAAAGAAAUUAUUAUUAUUUUGAAUUAUAUUGAGAUAACAAAAUAAAUACGGUUAAUUUGUUUUAGUUACGAAUUAUUCUAUAUGCACAUAAAAUAUUACUAUAUACACAUGUUAUUAUAAAAUAAAUGCAUGGGUAAAUAAAUUUUAUAACUUUAUGUCUAAUUAAAUCAUUUGUAUUCAUACAGCAAUUUAAAAAUGAGAUUUGCCAAAUAUUAUUUACUACUUAACUAAUUUACAAAACGCCUUUAAAAAUAAAAUUUACGAAGCGUUUGACUAAUAUUUUUACAAUUUUUUCACAACUAAUUAUUUCUAUAUCACAACUAAUAACGAUUAUUUUAAAAACUAUAAAAUUACCAUUCUAGUCAUUAAUUUAAAAAAUGUUUGUAUGUAAUUGUUUGAUAAACAACCUCCGUUCACCUUCUAUUGCAUCUAAGACCAGCCUCUCAUAUGCAUCUGGUAUUUCUGUUGGAUAACUUCACAUCAAAACUAAAGAAUUAAAGUAAUUCUCUCCAAAACCAGAAGAAGAACAAAAGAUAAUACAGAUGCACAAUAGCUCCAUCAAUUUGGCCAGGUCUGCAGAUGGAUAUUACUAAGGUAACAUGGUCAGGACAUGAGAUUAAUACAGUCCACUUACUUUUAAUAUUAAUUAGGAUUUUAUACAAAUUCUUUAAAAAUAAAAAAAUUAAAGAAUUUAAUCGUUACAUGAGCCUUAAAAUAAUUACGAAACGUGAAUAAAGACAAAGGCUUAUCACUUGAGAAGAUUUUAUGAAAUUGAUGCUCACGGUCCCACUCCAUAAUUGAGUAUUCUAGGUCAUAUAUUACAGAAUGAAGAUUACAAGUAUUAUUUGUAGGUAACUGUCUAAAUGGUCUCUUACCUUUAUCGAUAAAGCAAAUUAAGGUCGCUGCGAUCCAAUCUCAUUCCAAGACUAGGAACUUUGUUGUUGAUCUUCAGAUAUAUAGCUUCAUCAGGCUGGAGUCGGAGCACAAGCUCAUUUGUAGCCUUGUCUAAGUCAGUUCCCAAAUUCCGCUUGUACAAGUUUCCAGGGACAUGUCUGAACUGAACUCUGAUCUCUGCACUGAAGUUUCAUUGACACAACAUUCUCAAGUCAACCAGUUGAGCAUAUUCUACAAUAUAAGAGAACAUGGUGAAAGAAUAGAUCCACAUGAAAAGGGAAGAAAUACUGCCUACCGUUUGGUAUGGAGUGCUUUGCCUGCUUUCAUCAGGAAAGGAACCCCAUCCCAUCUUGCAUUGUUGAUAAAAAGAACAGCCGCGGCAAAUGUUGGCGUGAGACUGUCCUUUGGCACAGUUGGGUCAUCAAUAUAAGCAGGAUAUGAUUUACUACCCUUGUUGUGGCCCUUGUAUUGACCAACAAUUACAUCUUCAAGCAGAAGCGGUUGCAUUGAUCGAAGAACCUUCACCUGAAUUAAACCACGCACAACAAAGUCAAUGAUUAACUUAAAACAAUUGCAAGGAGUGUAGCAUUUCCAUAACCCACCAUGGGAUUUGAUUCUUCUUUGAUGGUGAUGGUGGUACGUAGGUAUACCUUAAAAUAGGAUCUCUAGCAAUCAUAGAAAUGGUACACAAAGGGGACCAGGAGACCACAAUUCUAGUUUGUAAAAUUUGUAGAAGAAAAAAAAACCGAAUUACCUUUUCAUUUCUAAUGUCUUCUGCAUCUAAGCUGACGGGAGUCUCCAUUGCAAAUAAUGCCAGUAUUUGCAAGAGUUGAUUUUGCAUUAUAUCUCGUAUGAUUCCAUAGUUAUCAAAAUAACUGGAAAGAUUUACCAAAAAAUCAGCUGAUCUGGGUGUCUGAAACAAUUUCUAGUAUAAUAACAAUAUCUUCAGGCAACAUAUACAACUCACCCCCCUCAUCUCUCUGUUCCAAAAUCUUCAGAAAAUAUAAAUUGUACAUUGCGGAUGUAAUUCCUGGACCAUAGAGGCUCAAAAACAAGAUUGGAGAAUCGAAGCACUGAUAGAUUCUCAACCAGCUCCUUACCCAAGUAAUGGUUAUCCUGAAAGGAUAUCAAUACAGUCAAACAUUAUCCCACAUGUCUUUCUUUAAGGAAGCAAAUGAGAGUCAAACCUGAAUAUUUGAUCCUCUCUUAGAUUCUGCUUCANNNNNNNNNNNNNNNNNNNNNNNNNNNNNNNNNNNNNNNNNNNNNNNNNNNNNNNNNNNNNNNNNNNNNNNNNNNNNNNNNNNNNNNNNNNNNNNNNNNNNNNNNNNNNNNNNNNNNNNNNNNUGUUUGGAGGUAAUGUUUUGGAGGUAUUGAUAAGUAAAAUAACCUAUUCGAUAGCUUUCUAGCCCAAAAUACCAUUUUCUUACACUGGGUUAAAAAAAUAAAACUAAAAUAAACAAAAAUCAAAUUGGACACGGAGCUAGUUACUAGCUUCCUAAACACGAAUCUAUUUUACAAUUGGUGGAACAAUAAGAAAUAUGUCAGUUACUUGGUCCAUUACAGAGCAGAACUCCCAAUGAAUCUAGUAAUAGUUCUUAUUUGGAUUCAAUACAUUUACUAGAGACUAACAUUUACUAACGGGAUUUUACCCACACGCCCUGCCUAUUCCUCCCUCCUAGAAUUAGGGGGUAUGGAAAACUUCACUGCAAUCAAAUAACCAUUUAAUAUCCCAUGAUAUCAAAAGGAUAUAGAAACAAAAUCCCACCAAAAGAUAGUUAAUGAAAUGUUCCAUUAGUUCAAGGAUUCAAUGGCUCCAAUACUACCUAAAAUUGAGGGCGAAGUAAUUCAUAAAGGGAAAGACUCUAAACAGAGAGGGACAGUUAAUGAAGCAAAGGAGGAUUCAUUGAACUACACCAUUAAUCUGUGAGUUGAAUUAAGAACAUUUAUUAUACUUUAUUGUUUGAAAUUACUAUUGAAGCCCUUUCAUCUGAUACAAGCGUCGGAGGUUUUCUGCUGGCAAUAAUGUUGGGCCUCCGACAGUUUCUGCGUUAGCAAAACGAGAUCAGAGUCAUCAAUGGAUGGACAGCAAUUACCAUCAAUUAGCAGAGUACCAGUUUCCGACAAAUAUAAAUCUGCUUGUUGAAGCCAAAAUUUGGCACCAACAUCUCUUGCCUUCCCUGUAAUAUUUUACCGUAUCUCAAGGCUUAAGUAUCCAUUAGCAAAGCUAAUUUGUCAUGUAAUAAAGACGAUAAAAUCAACCCUUAAAACCUACUUGUUGGAGAUGCAUUAGUAGAAUCUAUGACUCCAGAGUUGCUAUAAAGCUACAAAUUUCAUAAAUGUAAAGAAGCAAUUAAUUACCUCUUUCUCUUUCAGUUUGCUGUCUAAUUCUGCAAAAUGCUCCUCAGAGUUGUACAGACCCGAAUGGUAAAAGCAUCUCUUCAAGAACUGAUCCAUUUUGUCUUCACAAUUUUCCCUGUAAGUUCCCUCCACUAUUACUAAAUACAAAAUGCAUAGGCUGCUAAGAAUUACAUUUGAGAGUUUCAUAAAAUUACAUACUUCUUAUCAAUUCUACAAGUUAAAGUUUUGCUAAUCACGUUCCUCAGAUCCUCAUCAGUCAAUUUAGUCCGAGCAUAACCAAAAACUGUAAAAUCCUGCAUAAGGAUGAUAAAUGGAAGACAAAAUGAAAACUUAUCAGCUAUUUAACAUUCAUCACGGUUGUUGAAAAAGUGAAAUUAGUGAAGCAACAAAGCAUAGAACCUCAGGCAGACAAUCUUCAUAGUAUAGUGCGAAAAGUGCGGGAAAAAUCUUCUUCUUUGCGAGGUCCCCUAAGGCUCCAACUGUUGAAUUAGCUAAUGAAACUGAAUCUCAUGCAACACACGUUGGAGUGCCAGCUGGAAUCAAGCCAGCUGUGAAUCUAGUAGCUAGCCUAGAAGUGACGGUGACAGAUGCACGUGAGAAGCUAAAGAAUUCCAGGUGGCAAAACUGUUAUGAAGAGAUUCCCAUGCAGUUAGAUGUGGCUGGAAUUAGUUGACAGUUUAGCUAUUGUUAAUUGUGUAUUUGUUAUUUUGUUAGUUAGAUUGCUAAGCAAUAAUUGGCGUGAUUAGCAAGAUUAAGAUUGAACUAUAAAUACUGAGCUAAGCUCAUAAUUGUAAAUUGAGUUCUGUGAUAAUAAAACUGAAACAGAUAUUCUUCUUCAUUUUGAUCUGUAAAAUCUAACUCCAACAACUGUUAUGUUGAGUGUAGAACCCGCUUUUUCAGAUGAUGCCGGAACGGAGGCCUCUAUCGCUUAAGGCUCGGAAUGAUCGUUGGCCAGAGGUUUUCCAGCUAAAUCUAAACUCAAAAUUGCAGCUAGAAAUCAGCAAUGAGAAACAAAACUGAUAUGCUGAAGACAAAAUCUAAUCAUUGCAAAUGAUUAUGAUUAUAUCAAUGAGCGGACAAUUUGAUAAACCCUCUUUCCAAAACCAAAUUUUCUUCGCAUACAAAUUCAUUUGGCAAUUGUCGAAAACAGGAAAAAUCUUUUCUUUUCUUUUUUUGUUAAAUAAGAUAUUCAUUUUGGACACAGUUUAUGAAUAAGCAAUUGAAUGAGAAUUAAAACCCAUCUGAUACUGAUUCGGCGUAAAAGACUACAGUAGAGGAACCAGUAUCUCACUAUCUUCCAAAGAAACAGCAUUGAAAGGAUGCCCAUUAGAGGAUUUGAGCUGAAAAUGCUUUCUAGCAUGGAUUCUUGACUGAACUUGAGAUACCCAAGCGGAGAAACAAGAUUUUCUUGGGACAACAAUGAAGUCACUGAAGAGUUGUGUCUUGUAAUGCUUCAAUGAAGGAGAACAAGGACUCAAAUAUGCAGUAGCCAUGCUCAGUUAGGGAUCAAGAAGAGUGUAGAAGUUAGGAUUGAACAAGCGUGUGCAUAUGGAUUACGUUUAUGGUUUGUGUUAUAAAGAUUGUACCUAUAAAAUAAAUUUACAAAUGCAAGUGCCCUUUUCCAUUGAUGAAGGGGCCAGUGUCCCUGAAGUUACUUUUCAUAUACUAAACAAAUCUGUUAUAUGAGGUCAAGAAUUUUUCCUUUUUCUUUAUUCUUUUCUAAUUUAUAAAUUUUAAGUUUACAAGUCAACCGAGCAAAACAAAAUGUUUAUGAAACAUGCAUAGAAAAUACAAACUUGAAUUAAGAGUUAAAAUACUUCCCUAAAAGUUCUAUAAAUACAACUGACUUGUACUAGCUAUUGGAUGGUUCUUAUCUAAAUUGAAGAAAGUUUUAACUUACGAAUGUGUUUAUUUGGUGGGGGUUCUCAUACUUUAAUAAAGUAUGAAAAAGUAUGAAAAAAUUGUUAUGCUACAUUGCAAUGAUAUAUUAUAUGACAUGAUAGUUUCUUUGACACUUUAAAUAAAGUGCCAGAAUUUUCAUUGUCAAAUUAUAGUAACUUUCUCUAUUUUAUAACACUAUAUAAAUAAACGUCGCUUGUUGUUAUAAAAUUUUCAAUUAUUUUUAACUUCCCUCUUGUAUCAAUAAAUAGCUUAUUUGGUAUUAAGACAAAAGGUUGUGACUACGAAGCAAAAAUUAUUAGUGUGUUGUAAAUAUAAUUUUUGAAUAAAAAUUUUGACAAAAAUAAUAAACAUAUUAUAUAUUUUUUAUCAUACAAGUGUUAAAAUGAAUCAAAAUAAUUUUCAAACUACAGUAAUAAAUAUUCUCCAAUGACUUUAGUGCUAUAACUAAAAAGUUACAGCUAUCCAACCAUACUAUUAAAUACUAAAUAAGAUCUAAGAUUGAGUGAAAACAAAAUUAAUCAAAACCUAUUUUUCAAGAAAAAAGAAACUCCACUUGUAUCCAUUUAUAAAUUUAUGGAUAAUUAUAUGUAAUUUUUUUAGAAUUAUUUACACAAUAAAUAUAUAUAAGGUGGUCUACCUCCUUUGCAACGUGACUUUUCAUUUUAAUGAAUCGGUGAUUUUUUUCAUGGUUGAUUGAAAUUGAGGAAACGUGUUAGGUCGUUUGGGCGUUUUUGUCGCUGACUUUUUAAUUAUUGAAUUAUCUCUGGGACUUUGGGCCAGCCGUUUUAAAGUGAAUUAACUUUGCCGGGCUUUGACAGAUGAUUCGAUUUCUAUUUAGAGUUGGCCUUUCGACACCCCCUGUAAAUUUCUUGUAAAACCCUUCUUUAAAUGGAAUUUCCGAAAUAAUUAAAAAUAAAUUAAUUCUUUUUUAUUUUGAAUGAAAAUCCAAUUAAAACUCAUAAAUAAAUUAUUAUUUUAAUAAUUUUUUCACACCCAUUUCAUUUCAUUAUUUAUAUUUUAAAUUUUAAUUGAAUUUUUUUAAGAAACUUUAAAGAAUUUAAAAAAAUUGUGAAGUAGAAUUUGUGUAACAAGAUAAGAAUAAUUUAAGAUUUUAGAACUUUUAUGCAUUUACAGAUAAGAAAUAAAAAAAAAAUUCUUUUUAGGAUGAAAUUUAGUAACAAAAUGAUUGAUUUUAAUUUAUAAUUUAGUAUUUUAUGAAUUAAGUUGGAGUAUUUUUCGGGAAUAAAAUUUCGAAAGGGGUGUCAUAAAGAUUUUUGGGGUGUUAGAAGCUCCACUCGUAUGGUUAUUAGUCUACAUCAGGUUUUGGGCUGCCUUGUGUGCCCUGGCCUACUUGGACAGUCCAAUACAAAGAUUGGAUUUGUAUGUUGUAAGAGUUGCAUUUGCAUGAACCUUUUCAAUUUUGGUUGCCAUUUUUCUUAUUUUCUGUAACAACUAAUAAAAUAAAAAGAGAAAAUUGUGGUCAGAUGAAGAAUUGCUGUGUCAAAUUGUCAUUUCCAAAUAAAUAAAAUGAAAAUGAUCACAUAUUAACAUGUGACAAAUGUUAAGCUUAGUUGAAGAAGAAUCAGUUGGUGGGUUGCCAAGAAGAAUCAAAUGACUCAAAGCUAUUGUCUUUGCCUUUCUAGCUCAAAUUUUAGCUAAGGGAAACGUAGUAUCCCAAUUUUAUUUUAUUUUUCUCAAAUUUAUGCAUAAAUUAGGUGAAAUAAUUUUAAUUGGGUUCAAUAUAGUGGAUCCAUUGAGGCCUUAGUGCCCAAUUUUGCCACAGCAGAAAUUGUUCAACAACAACUACUGCAAUACAGCAGAAUUUGUUUUGAAGGAAAGGAACUAGAUUCUCUGAUCUCUUUUGCAAAAGCUGAAGCUGUUAUAGAAGCUUAUCAAAGAGUAAGGCUCACAGGAGAAACACGCAUUGACAAAAAGGUUACUGGAGUUAAGGAGAAAUGGAAUCCUCCGCCAAGUAACGUUAGUAAGAUAAAUGUGGAUGCAGCAAUUGACAAGCAAAAUCAGCAAACAGGGGUGGGAGUAGUCAUUUGAGAUUCCAACGGCAAGAGAAUGGCGGCAGCGGUCAAAAUAUCAAAACAGUGGAAGGAUGUGGCUUAUACUGAGGCUGAAUCUAUGGAAAUAGGGGCUUGAGGUAGCAAAGGAAGCUGCUAUGUCUUACCUGAUAAUGGAGAUGGAUUGCCAAGAAGUUGCUGAUUUAGUUAACUAAGAAGAAAGGGAGUAAGACUGAGAUAUUUUGGGUAAUUUCUGAAAUCCAAAAAUAGAGCAAGUGGUUCCAAGAAGUCAAAGUUCAACACGUUCCAAGGGCAUGUAAUGUCCAAUGUAAUUGACCUAUGGCUGGACCCCAUACCAGCAAACAUAGCUAUGUUUUGUCUUGUCAGUUGAAUGAGAAGAUCUUCACGUACAUGUGCUUCACGAAUGGCAAGACUAACAAUGAGAGAAGGGAACAUGUGCUUCACGAAUGGCAAGUGAAUGGACAUGAAAAACAUAUCUCGAAUUAUGUUUUUUUCCAAUUCGAAAAACAGACUUUAAGACUCGAACAGCUGUGAUUGGAUAUGCAAGUGGGCCACAUCUCCAGCAGAAGAAAGUACGAAUGGCUCAAAAAGACUUUUCGACCGCAACAGCAAACUAAUGGGAGGAAGAGGAGAUGCAGGCAAUGAAUGUAAUUAGGUUACUUGGUGUAGAAUCCAGACUCGAUCAUGAGCUUCAAUAAAUCUCUUACUACGCUAUCCUAUUAUUUUUAUGAGUUUUUAAAUUUUAUCUAAUUAAGAUCUAAACUUUGUAAUUGUAAUUUUAUAUCUGAGAGGUGGUGGAAUAGGUGCAUAAUUGUUGUGACUGAGAUAUCUAAUAAUUUACAUUGAAAUAGUAGAAAUACCAAAAAUACAAUUUUAUUUUAAAAUAUAUUUCAAUUUUUAAAAAUUGUUUUCAAAUCCUGACUAAUUUUAAAAACGAAUUACUUAUUACACAAGUCUUCUGCCCGUUUGUUCACGUACGUCUUGUUGAUCUCAAAAAGCCAAUUAUAUCGUAAUAAAAAAAAAAAGCCGAUUAUAUUUUCGGGGACGGCCACACCGUGGAACCUGACUUGCACCGGCAAGUCAUUAAGUCCACAAACGACUUUGACUUUGAGUGCUUUUCCUGAUACCACAUACUCAUACAUCCUACUGGAUAAAACUUCUCAAUUUCCACAAAUCAAUUGACUCGGAGAAAUUAAAAAUCCCAAGAAUUAUUUUACAAAAACUGCAGGUUGCCUAUAUAAAGACAACGCUGUUUUACUACCAUGCACGCAUGCAAUAAAAGCAAAAUAACUUAAAGCCAUUUUAGAAUUCCUGUUGAGACGUAAUGGGGUUAUCUUUAACUUUCUUCACAUUUAGACAUUUAGUUUUAUUUUCCUUCUUAAUAUUUCAUCUUGCAAUUGCUCACUUCAUUUCUUCUACUCAGCCACUCUGCCAUGAUCAUGAGCGUUCUGCCUUGUUGAAUUUCAAGGAAAGUCUUGUCAUUAAUCAGACUGCUUCCUCUUAUUCUUCUACUUAUCCCAAGGUUGCGACAUGGAAGCCGGAUGAAAAAAAUAGGGACUGCUGCUCAUGGGACGGUGUCAAAUGCAAUGAAGACACUGGCCAUGUUGUGGAGCUCGAUCUUGCUAGCAGUUGCCUCUAUGGUUCUAUCAACUCUACCAGCAGUCUCUUUCAGCUUGUCCAUCUGCAACGGCUUAGUCUCUUCGAUAACAACUUCAAUUUCUCUGAAAUCCCUUCUGCAAUCUUAAACUUUUCAAGGCUAACCCAUUUAAAUCUCUCUCAGUCUUAUUUUUCUGGUCAAAUACCAGCAGAGUUGCUGGAGCUCUCCAAUUUGGAGGUCCUCGACUUAUCAUAUAGUAAUUUUGAUACUUUUUAUCUGAAGCUCCAAAAGCCAGGUCUAGCAAAUCUAGCUGAGAAUUUAACCAACCUGAAAGCACUUGAUCUUAUCAAUGUCCACAUUUCUUCAACAGUUCCUCAUACUUUGGCAAAUUUAUCUUCUUUGCGUUUCUUGUCUCUCAGUGGAUGCCGUUUGCAAGGUGAAUUUCCCCAAGAGAUUUUCCAGUUACCCAACCUUCAAUUCCUUGGUGUGAUGAAGAACCCAAACCUCACUGGAUAUUUACCACAAUUCCAGAAAAGCAGUCCCCUUGAAGAUUUGAGACUUUCAAGCACGAGAUUUUCAGGUAAGAUUCCAGAUUCAAUAGAAAAUCUUGAAUCUUUAUCUUACCUGGAUAUUAGUGACUGCUCCUUUAUAGGAAAAAUUCCAUCUUCACUUGGUAACCUUACCAAGCUCGAAUAUCUAUCCCUUUCUGGUGGUAAUGGAUUUUCGAAUGAGUUGCCUACCUCCAUUGGAAAUCUUGCGUCUUUGAAAACUCUAGAAAUUAGCUCAUUCAAUUUCUCUGGUACACUUCAGGCUUCACUUGGUAAUCUUACCCAACUUGAUUCAUUGACAAUUUCAGAUAGCAAUUUUUCUGGUCCAAUGUCUAGUUCAUUGUCUUGGCUAGCUAAUCUUAACCAACUCACUUCUUUGAAAUUUCCCUACUGCAACUUAAAUAAUGAGAUCCUGUUUGCGAUCUCCAACCUAACACAACUUACUGCUUUAUAUUUGAAAAACAACCAAUUAACUGGUCCAAUCCCAUAUUCGUUGAUGAAGCUUAAAAAAUUGUCCUUUCUUUUCUUGGGAUUUAAUCAUCUGAGUGGUCGUAUUCCAGUUGAAAUUAGUAACCUAACUCAACUGCAGCAUCUGCAAUUAUCAUCGAAUCAAUUGGAAAGCUCUGUUCCAAGCUCUAUCUUUGAGCUUAGAAUCUAGAAGGCUUGACCUUUCCUUCAUAAUCUCAGUGGCACAGUGGAUCUAACAUGUUCCUUCUUAGCUUCAAACGUUUACGAUAUUAAAUCUCUCGUCAANNNNNNNNNNNNNNNNNNNNNNNNNNNNNNNNNNNNNNNNNNNNNNNNNNNNNNNNNNNNNNNNNNNNNNNNNNNNNNNNNNNNNNNNNNNNNNNNNNNNNNNNNNNNNNNNNNNNNNNNNNNNNNNNNNNNNNNNNNNNNNNNNNNNNNNNNNNNNNNNNNNNNNNNNNNNNNNNNNNNNNNNNNNNNNNNNNNNNNNNNNNNNNNNNNNNNNNNNNNNNNNNNNNNNNNNNNNNNNNNNNNNNNNNNNNNNNNNNNNNNNNNNNNNNNNNNNNNNNNNNUUAGACCUUAGGUUUAAUAAGCUGCAAGGACCACUCCCAAUUCCAUCAGCGUCAAUCUUUUCAUAUCUUAUUUCAAACAAUCAGCUGACCGGGGAAAUUCCACCAUCAAUAUGCAGUUUGAAUGGUCUUCAUGCUCUUGAUUUGUCUCACAACAACUUAAGCGGCAUGCUUCCUGAAUGUUUGGGCAAUUUCAGUGUUGCGUUGUCAGUAUUAAAAUUGCAAAGUAACAACUUUCAGGGAAGCAUUCCUCAGACCUUCAUGAAAGGAACAAAUCUGGCUAUGAUUGAUUUAAGCAACAAUUCAUUGCGUGGGAGAAUCCCGAAAUCACUGGCAAAUUGUGUGAAGCUCAAAUUUGUCCAUCUUGGGAAUAACCGAAUCACUGAUGUCUUCCCUUCCUGGCUGGGAACUCUUCCAGAGUUAGAGGUUCUUGUCUUGAAAUCCAAUAACUUUCAUGGAGAAAUAAAGGCACCUCGAACAGCUUUCGAUUUUUCGAAGCUCCGCAUCAUUGAUCUCUCUCACAACAGAUUUGGAGGCAUUCUUCCGUCGAAACACUUCGAUUGUUGGAAUUCCAUGAAAUAUGUCAAUGCAAGUUACCCAACAUAUAUGCAUGAUACACUAACUCCAAGCAUUUAUCCUGCAUCUACCUAUUUUGGUUUUUUUGAUUACUCACUGACAAUGAGUAACAAAGGCACAGAAUUGGAAUAUGAGAAGCUCUCAAAUCUGAUCACAGCAAUUAUUCUCUCCAACAACAGUUUUGUAGGAGAGAUUCCAACAUCAAUUGCUAAUUUAAAGGGGCUUCGAAAUCUCAAUCUUUCCAACAACAAUCUCCAGGGCCGCAUUCCAUCAUCUUUGAGUAACCUAACGGCGAUAGAGUCAAUGGACCUCUCCAGUAACAUGCUCUCAGGAAAUAUUCCUCAACAACUCUCAGAGCUCACAUUCCUUGCACUCUUUAAUGUGUCAGAUAACCUGCUCACAGGGCCAAUACCACGAGGGAAACAGUUCGACACAUUUUUGAAGAGUUCAUUUGAUGGAAAUCCAGGGUUGUGUGGAGGACCUUUGUCAAAAAAAUGUAACAACUCUGAGGCUUCACCACCAGAAGAAGAUCCGCACUCAGAAUCUGUAUUUACAUUUGGUUGGAAGACAGUUGUGAUUGGAUAUGCAAGUGGGACAAUAAUAGGAGUGAUACUUGGGCACAUCUUCAGUACAAGAAAGUAUGAAUGGCUCGCCAAGACUUUUCGACUGCAACCAAAGGCUGAUGCGAGGACGAGGAGAGUCAGGGGACAUAGGCAACGGAUGUAAUUAACCUUUUUUCUUUUUCUUGUAUUGUGCUUUAAAUUUCUUUCUCCUUCUUUUCUUCGAAGUUUAAUAAACGUUUUAUUAUUGUAUAUGUACUAUAUUGUCAGUGCAAGUAGGCUAAUAAUUUGAUGGUUCUUGGCAAUUUUUCCUUCAGCACGGCAUUCAUAUCGGCUGCUGCUUCUUUCUUAUUUGUUAUUCAGUACCUUAUUACUGUCCUGAUUUGAUCAAACGAUCAUGUCUUUAAUUAACAAAAUUUAAGAUAAUAGUUGUAAAAGAUUAAUGCAGCAUUCUCUUUUUCCAAACCUGAAAGGAUAUGAUUUGGAAAAAAAAAAAUCAUAUAAUUGAUGAUCAGGUAUUAGUGAUUUGGGCACCAGUACAAAGGUCUGCGAACUUUUUGUAUUUUACUUUUCAUAAUUUCCAUAUAUUCUCUAAUUUUGUUUUUGGGCAAAAACCCCUAAUUUAGUUGAAGAACCGCUUAAAAUUACAAAUUAAUCUCUCAAAGCGUUCUCUAACAAUAAUCAACUUUUUGAAGCAUCAAGCUAUUACAUGGGGUGCCAUAUAACUACUGUAAAAAAAUAUCAUUAGUCAUCAAAUAUGUGCCAACAAUAUAAUUGGUAAAUGUUAACUAUCAUCAAAACUCAAUCACAAUGCUAGAAGUGGCAUAAAAGUAAUUUGAAAUAGAAAUACCUUUAAUCAAGUUGUUGAAACAUAAAAAUAUAUUAAACAUGUGUGUUUACACGUAGAAUUUGCUUGGGAUUUUAGCUGCAUUUUGUAAAACUUUUCAAAUAGAAAUUAUUUAAUUAGAGCUUUUACAUUACCCGAAAAAAGUAAUUACCAAAAAUAUUUGAGUUGUUUGAUUGUCAACCAAAGUUUUUUUAAAAAAAAAAUUGUAUAAUUAUUUUAAUAGUCAAUUUUUUAUAGUUAUUUUAUAAAAGAAUGAAAUCCAAUUAUCAAAUAUAAUUAAAAAUACUUUAGACGGUUUAACACUUUAAAAAAAAUUCACAAUGAAACUAUGGAAAAAUAAAAGUACCACAACAAGAUUCUGUGCUCAACAUAGACAAGCAUGGUUAAUAGUCGGCAAGGAAGAAAGGGCUGGGAUUGGUUUUCUUUUUCUUUUUUUUUAAUGUAAUCUUUCAAUUUUUUCCUCCAUAAUAAAAUAUUUAAAUAACUUUUUUCUUAAUUUACAUGAUGUUUUGUACAAAGCGCUUGUUUUCAUGUUUUUGUACAAAUCGAUUUUGCCAAAUUCACAGAACUAUACUAACAAAACAGAAUCCUCCAGCCUGCCUAUCAUAGAGAGUUUUAAAAGGAAUUAUGUUUAAUAAGAAAUUAUGCGGUUAUUCACUUAUUCUUAUUUUUAAUGCACAACUUGUUCUGCUCUCAAUGUUUCAGCUUACCGUUGCGUUCUGUCUUGUUGCAAUUCAAGCAAAGCCUUACCGUUGUUCAGUGUUCUUUUUAUGAUUAUCCUUCAGCUUAUUCCAAUGUGGCAUCAUGGAACCAGGAAGAAGAAAAUAGCGACUGACGGCAUCAAAUGCAAUGAAGACACUGGUCAUGUUAUCAGGCUUGAUCUCACAAGCAGUUGCCCCAAUGGUUCUAUCAAUUCUAGCAGCAGCCUCUUUCAACUUGUCCGUCUAGAAUGGUUUGUUCUCUCCAAUAACCACUUCAACUUUUCUGAAAUCCCUUCAGAAAUCAAGAACCUGUCAAGACUAACAGCUCUCUCUCUCUCUCUCUAAUUCUUCGUUUUCUGGUCAAAUUCCAGCCGAGAGAGCUAGUUGGAGAGUCUUGAUCUAUCAUUUAAUAAUUUUCAUCUGAAGCUCCAAAGCCCGAGUCUAGCAAAUCUAGCUGAGAAGUUAGCCAACCUAAAAGUACUUCACCUUGGACAAGUCGAUACUGCUUCUACAGUUCCUUAUGCAUUGGCAUAUUUAUCAUCCUUGUUUUCUUAUCUCUCACUGAUUGCAUAUUGCAAGGUGAAUUCCCUGCAGAGAUUUUCCAGUUACCCAAACUUGUAUUUCUCGCUCUGACGUAUGAUCUCUAUCUCGCCGGAUAUUUGCCAGAAUUUCAGAAUAGCAGUGUCCUUGUAGAUUUGAGAAUUUCACAUACGAGAUUUUCAGGUAAGAUUCCGGAUUCAAUAGAAAAUCUUGAAUCCCUAUAUUCCUUGGGUAUUAGAGGUUGCUCAUUUUCAGGAAAACUUCCUUCCUUCACUUGGUAAUCUUACUAAACUCAAUGAUCUAUACCUUUCUGGUAAUGAUUUUUCGGGUGAGUUGCCUGUUUUCCUGGGAAAACUUUCUGUUUUUGAAAACGCUAGAAAUCAUUUCAUGCAACUUCUCAGGCAAAGUUCCGGAUUCACUUGGUAACCUUUUGCAGCUGAAUUAUUUAACUGGUGAGAUCUUAGGUCUGCUCUCGAAUCUAACACAACUUACUCAAUUAAAUUUGGCUCUUAACCAGUUAUCUGGUCCAAUCCGGUUUUGCUUGUUGAACCUUAGCAAAUUAUCAACUCUGUACUUAUAACAUAAUAAACUGACAGGGCGUAUGCGUAAUCCAGUUGAAAUUAGAAAGCUAACCCAAUUGCACAUUCUGCGCUUAGCGGAGAAUCAAUUGGAAGGCUCUGUUCCUAGCUCUAUCUUUGAGCUAAGGAAUCUUCAAGCGCUUGACCUUUCCGACAACAAUAUGAGUGGCACAGGGGAUCUAAACAUUGUCCUUCUUAACAUGGAAUCUUUAACAGCAUUACUUCUCUCGUCAAACAAGUUGUCAUUGCUCACUAGAGCCACUGUCGAUACCAAUUUGCCAAAUUUCACUAUAAUAGGGUUCAGUUCAUGAAACCUUAGCGAGUUCCCAUAUUUUUUUGCACAACCAAGAUCAAUUGCUAUCUCUGGAUCUUUCCUCCAACAAGAUAGCUGGCCAGGUACCUCAAUGGUUGUUAAAUGUAAGGAUAAAUAGUUUGGAAUAUUUGAACUUUUCUCACAAUCUCUUUGUUCUUCCAUGGUCCAAAAUGAAUACUUUAGACCUUAGUUUUAAUAAGCUGUAAGGACCACUCCCAUUUCCAUCAUCAGUGUUUAUCCAUUCCUAUCUAGUUUCAAACAAUCAGUUGACAGGGGAAAUUCCACUCCAAAUAUGUUGUUUGAGUGGUCUUUACGCUCUUGAUUUCUCUUACAACAACUUCGUUGAAUCUUGAUUGGAAUCAGUCAACCAAGAAUCCCCAAGACCUUUCUAAACUCUCUGAUAAUUGAUAUAGAAACAGCAACUAAUCACGCAAAAGCAAAAACAACUCAAAAACCUGCAAGCUAAGAACAACAAUUUAUGGUGGUUCGGCCUGGAGAUGGCGUAUAUCCACUGAAGAACAGAGCAACAGCUUUUAUUCAAUCACUGAGAACAAAAUACAACCUUAAAGACAAAGUUACAAGCAUUUCACACUAUGAUUUCACUUCCCUUAAGGCUAUAUAUACACGCUUAAGAGCCUCCAGAAAGAUCCCCUGCCAGCCAGCUGUAUUCUGGGUUUGUUGUAAACAAAACCCAGAAUUUUCCCGCUUUCAUAACCGAAAAUAACAAGCUUCUAGACACGUGUUUCCUUCACGUUAAACAUAGGCCCAAAACGACAGUAAAUAAUGCAGUGUUUGUGUAGGAUAAGUGACUGCACAUGACAAGCACAUGCUCAACUUAUUCAAAUGUUACUGACAAAAUAAUAUUGUCAUACGGACUUAUAAGUUUUUAAGUCGACAUGUCGUAUUGCACCAAAGCUUUAAACUGACAGAACAUCUGAUCUUCUGGAAACUAGCUUCAAAGCUCACCCUAACGAACUUCAGUAGCAUGGUUCCCAAAUGUUUGGGCAACCUCUGUGAUAAGUUGCCAGUGUUAAAAAUGCAAGCUAACAACUUUCAUGGAAUCAUUCCUGAAACCUUCGUGAACAGAACAAAUUUGAGAAUGAUUGAUUUUGACAACAAUUCAUUGCAAGGAAGAGAACCUAAAUCCCUAGCCAAUUGUGUGAAGCUAAAAUUUCUUAAUCAUGGGGAUAGCCAAAUAACUGAUGUCUUCCCUUCUUGGUUAGGAACUCUGCCAGAGGUAGAGGUUCUCAUUUUGAAAUUCAACAACUUUCAUGGAGAAAUAGAGGAACCUCAAACUGCUUUUGAGUUUCCCAAGCAUCGCAUCAUUGAUCUCUCUCAUAAUAGGUUUACAGGUAAUCUUCCAUAAAAGCACUUCUACCGCUGAAAUGCCAUGAAAGAUCUCAAAGCAAGCAAGUAAGCUAGCCAUGAAAGAUCUCAAAGCAAGUAAGCUAACAUAUUUGCAAGUUAAACCGGUGCCGCAUGAUUUAGCUGCGUUUACCAACUAUGGUUCCACCGAUUACUCACUAACAGGCCAGCUCAACCAUAUUUGGGGACAAAUGGUUUUAAUUAAUUAUUCUUAAAAUUUAAGACAAAAAAUAUAUAUAUUAUUUAUUGAAAUCAAUUCUUUAAACACUCUAAAAUGUAAAAAUUAUUAAAUAAAAUUCUAUUCUACUGUUGGUAAUCCAUGAAAUUUUAAUUCAAUUAUAACAUUUUCACUUAUUGGUUUUUUUAACUCAAAUUACAUCUUUUUUACUACUUCCUUUAUAGAUUAAACUAAUUUUUCUGUUCUUCUGUUUUCUAAAGUUUUUCGAUAUAGUUUUAUUUCAAAAUAGAUAAAACAAGCACACACAAGAAAAGUAGAUGAAUAAAAGAAUAUAUUAAAAAGAAAUAAGAACAAAUAAAUAACCCAACUAAUUAAGAGAAUAAUAAAAAGAUAAAAUCUGGAAUUUGAGUUGAAAUCAUAAAUUAACUUUAUCUUUAUAAUAAUUGUUUGAGAAUUUGAGUGAUGACCAAUAGCCAUAGAGAAUAGAGAAAACGAUUAGAUUUUUUCUUUUUUUUUCUUGAGUGGAAAGCAGAGGAAGCAAGAUUUUUUUCCCUCUCUCUCUCUUUCUUUCUCUCAAACACCAAGAACAUAUCGUAUCUUGAUUGUUGGAGGAAAAAUUUAAUGGAUAAGUAAUAAAAUGUGGGGCUUUUAUAGAGGCUUAAAAUGAACAUAAAACUUUUUAAUUAUAACAUAUUAAUUCUAACAAUGAAAUAGAGUUUGUAGGAUUGAAACUAUUAAUUUAUCGGUUUUAUAAGAAUUAAAACUAUUAAGUACUAUAUUAAACAAACUUUAUAGGAAUUUGAUAGUUUAUUUAGGAAAAGAUAAUUACAAAAUAAUAAUAAAUUAAAUGAAUAAUAAUGACUUUUAAAUUCACUUUCUCAUUUUAUAUACAAAAUAAUCAUCUCAUGAGUUCUUUAUAUAAAGCGGGACCCUAAGCAACCGCCUAAGUUGCUUAGAGGUCAAGCCCCUACUGCUAAUAAUGAGAAACAAAGGCAGAGAUAGAAUAUCCCAAGCUGUCAAAUUUGAUCACAGCAAUUAUUCUCUCCGACAACAAUUUUGUUGGAGAGAUUCCAACAUCAAUCGCCAAUUUAAAGGGGCUUCGGACUCUCAACCUUUCCAACAACAAUCUCCGAGGGUACAUUCCAUCAACUUUGAGUAACCUAACCGUGAUAUAGAGUCAUUAGACCUCUCUCGUAACAAGCUCACAGGACAAAUUCCUCAGCAAGUAGCAGACCUCACAUCCCUUUCAUUCUUUAAUGUGUCACACAACCAUCUGAGUUAAAGAACAGAAAAUAGUUGUUUGGCUGAUGAGAAAGUUAAAUAAAAGAAAUGAGAUCUGGAAACUUCAACUUUAUUCAAUUCUUUUGUUUUCUGGAACUAUAACCAUCUACUAAUCGAUUACAUGUAUAUAUAUACAAGUGCAGCUGCUCAGCUGAAGUUUAACAAACUAACUAACUAUUUACAACUUGCUUAACAAAAUUAUCACGUGUAUAUGCACAAGCAGCUACAUAACCAACUGGUGCCAGCUGGCAGUACAUGUCAUCAACUUGUAACUGAUUGUAGAAGCUUCUAUGAUCCUCUGCUCUGCUGCAAAUAUGAGCCUCCUUAACAAUCUGACGGGAGUAAUACCACAAGCGACACAGUUCAGCACAUUCACGAAUGAUUCGUUUGUUGGAAAUCCAGGAUUGUGUGGAGAACCUUUGCCUAGAAAAUGUGAAAACUCUGAUGCUUCCCCAGCAGAUGAUGAUCUAUACUCAGAAUCUGUAAUCGCAUUUGGGUUGGAGACGGUGCUAGCAGGGUGUGCAAGUAGGACAAUAAUAGGAGUGGCACUUGGGUACAUCUUCUCCACGAAAGUAUGAAUAGCUUACGAAGACUUUUCGACUACAACCAGAAAGUAGUGGAAGGAGGAGGAGACAUGGCAAAGAAUGUAAUUAAUAAGCUUUAAUUAAUUUAUUUAUUUAUUUUAUGAAUUACUCACUAAAGCCUUGAAGAAUUGUGUACUUGAAAAUUUUUCUUUCUCUUCCAAUUUCAAUAAAUCUAUUUAUACUAUGGUGCUAUUGCUAUGAUUCACGCUUCGGGCCUGUUUGAAAUUAUUUUUGAAAGAUUUAAAAGUGAUUUUAAAAAAAUUAAAAGUCGAUUUUAGUAUUUGAUAAACUUUCAAUAGGAUCAUUUUAUCCUAUAACAAAUUUUAAAAAAUGAAAAAGAGUAGUUUUUCAAAAUUUGAUUUUGAUAAUUCAUUUCAUAAUAUAUAUAUAAAAAUCUAAAAUUAUCUUUNNNNNNNNNNNNNNNNNNNNNNNNNNNNNNNNNNNNNNNNNNNNNNNNNNNNNNNNNNNNNNNNNNNNNNNNNNNNNNNNNNNNNNNNNNNNNNNNNNNNNNNNNNNNNNNNNNNNNNNNNNNNNNNNNNNNNNNNNNNNNNNNNNNNNNNNNNNNNNNNNNNNNNNNNNNNNNNNNNNNNNNNNNNNNNNNNNNNNNNNNNNNNNNNNNNNNNNNNNNNNNNNNNNNNNNNNNNNNNNNNNNNNNNNNNNNNNNNNNNNNNNNNNNNNNNNNNNNNNNNNNNNNNNNNNNNNNNNNNNNNNNNNNNNNNNNNNNNNNNNNNNNNNNNNNNNNNNNNNNNNNNNNNNNNNNNNNNNNNNNNNNNNNNNNNNNNNNNNNNNNNNNNNNNNNNNNNNNNNNNNNNNNNNNNNNNNNNNNNNNNNNNNNNNNNNNNNNNNNNNNNNNNNNNNNNNNNNNNNNNNNNNNNNNNNNNNNNNNNNNNNNNNNNNNNNNNNNNNNNNNNNNNNNNNNNNNNNNNNNNNNNNNNNNNNNNNNNNNNNNNNNNNNNNNNNNNNNNNNNNNNNNNNNNNNNNNNNNNNNNNNNNNNNNNNNNNNNNNNNNNNNNNNNNNNNNNNNNNNNNNNNNNNNNNNNNNNNNNNNNNNNNNNNNNNNNNNNNNNNNNNNNNNNNNNNNNNNNNNNNNNNNNNNNNNNNNNNNNNNNNNNNNNNNNNNNNNNNNNNNNNNNNNNNNNNNNNNNNNNNNNNNNNNNNNNNNNNNNNNNNNNNNNNNNNNNNNNNNNNNNNNNNNNNNNNNNNNNNNNNNNNNNNNNNNNNNNNNNNNNNNNNNNNNNNNNNNNNNNNNNNNNNNNNNNNNNNNNNNNNNNNNNNNNNNNNNNNNNNNNNNNNNNNNNNNNNNNNNNNNNNNNNNNNNNNNNNNNNNNNNNNNNNNNNNNNNNNNNNNNNNNNNNNNNNNNNNNNNNNNNNNNNNNNNNNNNNNNNNNNNNNNNNNNNNNNNNNNNNNNNNNNNNNNNNNNNNNNNNNNNNNNNNNNNNNNNNNNNNNNNNNNNNNNNNNNNNNNNNNNNNNNNNNNNNNNNNNNNNNNNNNNNNNNNNNNNNNNNNNNNNNNNNNNNNNNNNNNNNNNNNNNNNNNNNNNNNNNNNNNNNNNNNNNNNNNNNNNNNNNNNNNNNNNNNNNNNNNNNNNNNNNNNNNNNNNNNNNNNNNNNNNNNNNNNNNNNNNNNNNNNNNNNNNNNNNNNNNNNNNNNNNNNNNNNNNNNNNNNNNNNNNNNNNNNNNNNNNNNNNNNNNNNNNNNNNNNNNNNNNNNNNNNNNNNNNNNNNNNNNNNNNNNNNNNNNNNNNNNNNNNNNNNNNNNNNNNNNNNNNNNNNNNNNNNNNNNNNNNNNNNNNNNNNNNNNNNNNNNNNNNNNNNNNNNNNNNNNNNNNNNNNNNNNNNNNNNNNNNNNNNNNNNNNNNNNNNNNNNNNNNNNNNNNNNNNNNNNNNNNNNNNNNNNNNNNNNNNNNNNNNNNNNNNNNNNNNNNNNNNNNNNNNNNNNNNNNNNNNNNNNNNNNNNNNNNNNNNNNNNNNNNNNNNNNNNNNNNNNNNNNNNNNNNNNNNNNNNNNNNNNNNNNNNNNNNNNNNNNNNNNNNNNNNNNNNNNNNNNNNNNNNNNNNNNNNNNNNGCAGCUAGAUGAUGUUUGAGUUUGGUAACUGCUCUGAUUUCAUAACAAUAUUAUCUUUAUUUGUUUACGAAUUAUUAUCUUUAAAGCGUAGCUCAAAAAAAUCAACAUUAACAAUAAAUUUACAAUUGCCUAAGGGUAUUACGUUUGAAAAAAUUAUACUCGAUAAUGGAUAAAGCUAAAUAAAUAUCCCUAUUUUUAGAUAUUACAAAAAUUGAACGUAUUUAAGAUUUUUAAAUUAAAAAUAGUUUUCAAGCAUCAUAUAUAUCAAAUGUACACUGAAAUACCAGAAAUAUUAAAAACACAAUUCAAUUUUAAAUUAUAUUUCAAUUUUUAUUAACUCUUUUUAAAUCCUGACUAAUUUCUCAUGCCAACUGUUCUAGCUUUGUUGUCUAAGACCUGUAUGAGAAUGAAGAGACUUUAAGGUUUUGAACUAAUUCUAUAGACCUUCAAGUAAAAUGGAAAUUUUUUUGCUUCCGUUUUAUGUUUCUUGUGGCCUGGUUCGUUGUGGAUGGGAUACAAAUAAUCUUUAAGCCACGGAAAUUAAAAUUGAUCGAUCAAGAUGUUGAAGUGUAACAAUCGAUUCUUUAAUACACAAGUCUUCUGCCCUUGUCUUCACGUACGUCUUGUCGAUCUAACAAAGCCAAUUAUUCGGUGACGGCCACACUAGGGAACUUGACUAAUUGACUUGCACUAACAAGUCAUCAAUAAGUCCAUUAACGACUUCGUCUUUGAGUGCUUGCUUUUCCGGAUACCACCACAUACUCAUACAUCCUAGCUUCAAGAUAAAACAAACUUCUCCAUUUCCACACAAAAUGAUUCCACACUUGGAUAAAUCAGAACAUAGCAAUAAUUCAUUUGCAAUAAUUGAAAGUUGCCUAUAUAAAGCAUCGCAGCUUCACUACCAUUAUGCGCGCCAUAAAAGCAAAAUACCAUAAAGACACAUUUUAGAUCAAUUCCUGGGGAGACAAAUUAUGGGGUUAUCAUUACGUUUCUUUACCUUUAUGCACUUAGUUUCUUCCUUGUUAAUAUUUCACCUUGCAAUUGCUCACUUCACUUCUUCCAUGCAGCCACACACACUCUGCCAUGAUCAAGAUCGUUCUGCCCUGUUGAAAUUCAUCGAAAGCCUUACCAUUAAUAGGUAUGCUUCUAGAAAUCCUUUGUCUUAUCCCAAGGUUGCAUCCUGGAAUCAGGAUGAACAAAAUAGUGACUGCUGCUCUUGGGAUGGCAUAAAAUGCGAUGAGGACACUGGUCAUGUGAUCAGCCUUAACCUCAGUAGCAGUUGGCUCUAUGGCUCCAUCAACUCUAGCAGCAGUCUCUUUCAGCUUGUUCAUCUUGAAUGGCUUGCUCUCGCAGAUAACCAUUUUCAUUUCUCUGUAAUCCCCUCUGAAAUCGUCAACCUUUCGAGGCUGACACGUCUAUCUCUCUCUGGUUCUUUUUUUGCUGGUCAAAUACCUGCAGAAUUGCUAGAACUCUCGAGGUUGGAGGUUCUUGAUCUAUCAUCAAAUGACCAUCAUCUGAAACUCCAAAGUCCUGGUCUAGCAAAUCUAGCUGAAAAGUUAACCAACCUCAAACGACUUAACCUUACCGAUGUCAAUAUUUCUUCUGCAGUUCCUCCUACAUUCGCAAAUUUGUCUUCUUUAAUUUCCUUAUCUCUAAGUGAAUCCUUUUUGCACGGUGAAAUCCCUACAGAGAUUUUUCAAUUGCCCAACCUUCGAUUACUUGAGCUCGCGUACAAUUCAAAUCUCACAGGACAUCUACCAGAAUUUCAGAAAAGCAAUUCCCUUGAGCUUUUGAAUGUUGCAUUCUCGGGAUUUUCUGGUAAGAUUCCGAAUUCAAUAGACAAUCUUAAAUCAUUAUCUCACUUGUAUUUGCCACGCUGCUACUUUUCUGGAAAAAUCCCCCCUUCACUUGGUAAUCUUGUUAGAGUUAUAAAUAUAAAGAAUAUUUUUGUAAUGAUUCUGCUGAUGUGGCAGCUGAGUAAGCAAGGUUGUUAUUUGUUAGUUUGUAAGUUUGUUAAUCACAGCUCACUCUAAACACGUGUGUGAGCAAUGCAGAAGGUUCUGGAUCUUAGUAUAUAAGAUCAACCUCUGUAUUCAUAAUUCAUUGAAUAAAAUUCGAUCUAUUUUUCUUAUAGUUUCUCUUAUUGCUCAUUGAAUUUUCCUUCAUUUUCUCUGCAACCAAACAAGCAUAAAUAGCUUGGUUAAACUUCAAUUUGGUAUCAGAGCCACAUCUAGUCUAAUCUCAUGGCAUUAUCAAGCUUGACCACAAACAUCUCUUCUUCAGCAACAACCUUUACUUUCACAACUCCAAUAAAACUUGAUCGAUCAAAUAACUUAAUCUGGAAAUCUCAAAUUCUAUCCUCAGUUCGAGCAAAUGAGCUUGAGAGUUUGCUUGAUGGAUCCAGAAUCUGUCCAGAUCAAUUUCUCUCAAGCACUCAAGGAAAUUCAGAUGCUAUGUUCAAUGCUUCUGCAAGUUCAACUGUUACUUCACAAGAGAAUCCUGAGUUUCAUGUGUGGAAGAAGCAAGAUCAGAUGCUGCUGAGCUGGCUGCUAUCCUCUAUCAGCAUUGAAAUCCUCAGCCUUGUGGUAAACUCUAAAACCUCUUAUGAACUGUGGUCUAGUUUAGAGCAACAAUUUGGAUCUGAAACUGCUGCUAAGAAAGUUCAUCUCAAAAUGAUGUUGAAUAAUCUAAAGAAAGGAUCUAUGACUAUGACAGAAUAUUUUAGUAAGUUGAAGUCAGUUACAGAUGAGCUUGCUAUUGCUGGAAGUCCUGUUAGUUCUUUGGAUUUUAUAACUCAUCUCAUCUCUGGAUUAGGUCAGCCUUAUUAUCCAGUAGUUGUGUAUAUUGAAGCAAAUGUUCUAAAAAUGAGUAUUAAUGAGGCUUAUUCAAUGUUGUUGACACAUGAGGCACGUUUAGAAAGCAAUCAAUCUAAUUCUUUCAAAGAAGUGAAACAGAACUAUGCUGCUAACUUAGCUCAGGCUGGGAAUAAUCAAAAGAAAGUUAACAAUCAGGGAGGCUGGAAUAAUAAUAGUCAAGGAGGUUGGAAUGGAAACACUGGGAACAAACCUGGAUUUUAUAACUGGAAUGGAAACUUUGCAAACAGAGGAGGUUUCAAUCCAGGAAGGGGACAAAAUUCAGGUAGAGGACAAUGGAAUAAUAAUUGGAAUAACUGGAAUGGAAAUCAGGGUAGAGGCAAUUUUACUGGUGCUGCUGGAAAUUUUUCUGGUAGAUUUCCUGGUGGCUAUAAUGGAUUUGGAAGAGGAGGAGGCAGAGGAAAUAUUGUUUGUCAGAUUUGUUUCAAACACAAUCAUACUGCAGCUGAUUGCAAAGACAGAUUUAACAGAAAUUUUGUUCCUAAUUUUUCUGUGCAAGGAAACUUUCUAGAUCAGAAUCAAACUUCCAGAGCUGCUUUCAUGGCUACAUCAGAAGGAGUUGCUGACCAAGGAUGGUAUCUGGAUAGUGGAGCAACACAUCAUCUCACAAACAAUAUGGAGAACCUAGCUGAAGGUACACCUUAUCUUGGAUCUCAGUUGCUAUUAGUUGGUAAUGGACAAGGUCUUAGAAUUACUUCUAUAGGCAAUAUAUGUCUCCUUACAUCCUUUGGUAAUCAAUUAAACCUUUCCAAUGUUCUGUGUGUUCCCAAAAUUACCAAGAAUCUGAUUAGCUUAUCUAAACUUCUCUCUGACAAUCAUAUAAUCAUUGAAUUUGUUUCUAAUCUUUGUCUCAUUAAGGACAAGAUGCAAGGAACUUUGCUGGCACAGGGGAUUGCUGAGGAUGGUCUCUUUAAGCUACUGACUCAAGAUACACCUCUUUCUGAUUCUAAAGCCUUGGGUCUCAAACCUAGUUCGAUGUUGUCUGUUUUUUCUAAUAAAGAGAAUGUACACUCAUUGAAAGAGUUGAAUCACCAAACAAAUGUCUGUUCAAAUUUGAUCAAUUCCAAUAAUGAGAAUUCUGUCAGUUUUCUAGCUUCCAGUAGUCAGUCUAUGCAAUUGCUACACAAUAUGUUUGGUCAUCCAACCAAACAUGUCUUGCAAACAAUAAUGAAAAGUCUUCCUAUGCAUUCAACCCAUUCUCAAUCUCUUAAUUUUUGUGAUGCUUGUCAAUAUAGUAAAUUACAUCAAUUCCAUUUUCCAGUCACUGAUAUAAAAUCAAAAUUUCCUCUCCAACUCUUAUAUGCUGACUUAUGGGGUCCAGCUUCUGUGUUGUCUAUGGAUGGAUACAAGUACUAUAUUUCUUUUGUUGAUGAUUUCACAAGAUAUUGUUGGGUAUUUCCACUCACACUCAAAUCUGAGGCAUUAGACACCUUCAAAUAUUUCAAAUCUCUUGUCGAAAAACAGUUUUCUUUAUCCAUCCAAACACUACAAACUGAUAUGGGGGGUGAGUUUAUAGCCUUCAGAUCAUUUCUCCAACAAGAGGGUAUUCAAUUUAGAUAUAGUUGCCCCCACACUCACCAUCAAAAUGGUGUGGUGGAAAGGAAGCAUAGGCAUGUUGUUGAAACUGGACUCACACUCUUAGCUCAAGCUCAUUUACCUCUCUCUUUUUGGUGGGAAGCUUUUCAUACAGCCACUUACUUAGUGAAUAGAAUGCCAACACCUGUUCUAAACAAUUUAUCUCCUUUUCAGAAACUAUACAAUCAGCUUCCAGAUUACAAGUUUUCUAAAGUGUUUGGCUGUUCCUGUUUUCCUUUUCUUCGACCUUAUCAUCAUCACAAGCUAGAUUUCCAUACUCAAAAGUGUGUCUUCAUUGGUUAUAGCCCCAUUCAUAAGGGCUACAAGUGUCUUGAUCGAACUGGGAAAGUCUUUGUUGCCAGACAUGUUACUUUCAAUGAACUGGAAUUUCCAUAUUCUGAACUGUUUUUGAAAACCAAGUCCAACACCUUAUCUCAUUCUGUUACCUCCACUCCAUCUUCAGUUCAUUUCUUUCUUCCUCAAACACCUGUUCUUAGUCACAGUAGCAAUGAAGAGCCAUCAGCUGCAGUCUCCAGUCCUGCUUUGUCUCCUGCAUCAGAGUCUCAUUCCUUGCCACAUUCUGUUCAUUCACAAUCUCUAGAUCAACCCUCAAGAUCUUCAAAUUCUUCUCCACCAGUAAUCGCUACUCAUCCUAUGGUUAACAGAUCCUAGGUGGUACUCAGCUAUGAAAGAAGAAUUUGAAGCUCUCCAAAGAAAUCAAACCUGGACUUUAGUGCCUCCUGAAUCAGCUGGGAAAAUUGUUGGCAACAAGUGGGUUUACAGAGUUAAGUAUAAUGCUGAUGGCAGCAUCUCUCGGUAUAAAGCUCGGUUGGUUGCCAAGGGAUAUCAUCAAACUUAUGGGGUUGAUUUCUUUGAGACAUUUAGCCCUGUGAUCAAGCCUUGUACUGUCAGAAUCAUUUUAAGCUUAGCAGUCAUGCAUCACUGGCCUAUUAAGCAGCUGGAUGUAAACAAUGCUUUCCUCAAUGGCAUUCUUACUGAAGAUGUGUACAUGCAUCAACCACAAGGGUUUGUUGAUUCCACUUACCCUUCUUUUGUUUGUAAGCUUAAUAAGGCCUUAUAUGGUCUCAAACAGGCUCCAAGAGCCUGGUAUGAUCGAUUAAAGGAGUCACUAGUUCAAUGGGGUUUUCGAGUCUCCAAAUCUGACACUUCUCUGUUCAUUAAGCAUGCAGGGACAGAUAUCUUGCUCAUUCUCAUUUAUGUGGAUGAUAUUUUAGUCACGGGUUCAGAUUCAAAGCUCAUAGGAAAUGUUAUUCAGCAAUUACAUUUUGAGUUUGCCUUGAAGGAGCUGGGGGAUUUUCAUUACUUUCUUGGUAUUGAAGUUACUCCAUCUGUUCACGGUAUUCAUCUAUCUCAAACUAAGUACAUUGGUGAUAUUCUUAAAAGGGCAAAUAUGUUGGACAGUAAAGGUUGUGUUACACCUAUGAGUACUUCUGAGAAGCUGCACAAGGAUACAGGUGCUGCAUUUGAAAAUCCAUCUUUAUACAGAAGCAUUGUGGGAUCUCUUCAAUAUGUUCUGUUAACUCGACCAGACUUAGCUUUCACAGUCAACAAGCUUAGUCAAUUUUUAUCAGCUCCCACAAUUCUUCAUUGGCAAGCUUGCAAGAGGGUGUUACGGUAUCUUCAAAGUACAGCUGAUUAUGGUCUUCAGUUUUUCAGUUCUGGUUCUUUAAAGUUAACUGCCUACUCUGAUGCUGAUUGGGGAGCAGAUCCUGAUGAUCGCAGAUCUGUUGGAGGUUAUUGUGUGUUUUUAGGUUCCAAUCUCAUCUCUUGGUCCUCUAAGAAGCAGCCUAUUGUGUCCAGAUCAUCAGCUGAGUCAGAGUAUAGAGCUCUUGCUAUGGCUACCUCUGAAGUUCUCUGGAUUACAUACUUAUUUCAAGAGCUUCACAUAUCUUUUGAUCAGAUUCCUCUUCUGCAUUGUGAUAACAAGAGUGCUGAAGCUUUGGCCAGUAAUCCUAAAUAUCAUGCUCGUACUAAACAUAUUGAGCUUGACCUCCAUUUUCUCAGAGAGCAUAUUGCUCAACAACAGCUUUCAGUUACUUAUGUUCCCAGUUCAGAUCAAUUAGCAGAUGUUCUUACUAAGCCCCUCUGUUUUGAUCAGUUUGCUUAUUUGCGCAGCAAGCUUAAUGUCCUUUCACGACAUCAAGCUUGAGGGGGGAUGUUAGAGUUAUAAAUAUAAAGAAUAUUUUUGUAAUGAUUCUGCUGAUGUGGCAGCUGAGUAAGCAAGGUUGUUAUUUGUUAGUUUGUAAGUUUGUUAAUCACAGCUCACUCUAAACACGUGUGUGAGCAAUGCAGAAGGUUCUGGAUCUUAGUAUAUAAGAUCAACCUCUGUAUUCAUAAUUCAUUGAAUAAAAUUCGAUCUAUUUUUCUUAUAGUUUCUCUUAUUGCUCAUUGAAUUUUCCUUCAUUUUCUCUGCAACCAAACAAGCAUAAAUAGCUUGGUUAAACUUCAAUUAAUCUUACCAAGCUCGCUCAUUUGUUCCUUUGGGGUAAUGGAUUUUCGGGAGAGUUGCCUACUUCCAUUGGAAAUCUAGCUUCUUUGGAAAUUCUAGCUAUCAGUUCAUGCAAUUUCUCAGGUGAAGUUCCAGCUUCGUCACUUCGUAAUCUAACCCAGCUUACUGCUUUAAUAAUUGGGACAAAUAAUUUUUCAUCCCUAAGUUCUCGUUCAUUGUCUUGGAUCGCUGAUCUAAAGAAACUCACUAUUUUAGACCUUGUGUUAAGAUAGUCAAAUUGAUUAGUCACGUGCUAGUUAAUAUAGUUAGUUAAAUAGAAUCUGUUAUACAUGAUGACAUGGCUGCUUAUGUGGCAAAUUAGUUUUAGUUACUAGCUCAGCUGAUUUGCAUGUAAACAGAAUGAAGAAUAUUCCAGAUUGUAGUAUAUAAACAUGUGUAACUAAUCAAACGAUUUAAUGAAUAAGAAUCAAGUUCUUUCUUCUCUGCUUCUCUGAUUUUUCCUUUUCAUUUUCUUAGUAAACAAACAAACUCAUCUUUCUUAAUUUGGUAUCAGAGCCACGAUCUAAUGGCUGCUUUUAACUCAAAUCAAAACACAACAUCCUCAUUUACAUUCACCUCACCAGUUAAACUUGAUAGAACAAAUUAUACAAUCUGGAAGUCUCAAAUUCUCACUUCAGUUCGUGCUAAUGGCCUUGAAGAUUUUCUCGACAACUCAAAACUUUGUCCAGAACAAUUCUCAUCUGAUGGAGUUAUAAAUUCUGAUUCUGAUGCAACUGAGAUCACUACUGCUGAAGGAGUUCGAGAGAAUCCAGCCUUUGUUAUCUGGAAACGAAAAGAUCAGAUGCUGCUGAGCUGGCUGAUGUCCUCUAUCAGUCUAGAGAUUCUCAGUUUGGUGGUAAAUUCUAAAACCUCACUUGAACUCUGGAUUAGUCUUGAACAACAGUUUGGAUCUGAAACCUUUGCUAAAAAGGUACAUCUGAAAAUUAUGCUUAACAAUCUUAGAAAAGGAGCUAUGUCCAUGACUGAAUUUUUUGGAAAACUAAAGACAGUUACUGAUGAACUUGCUGUGGCUGGUAGUUCUGUUAGCUCACUAGAUUUUCUUACUCAUUUGAUCAGUGGAUUAGGCCAGCCUUAUUACCCUGUGGUAGUAUACAUUGAGGCAAAUCUUGCCAAGAUGUCUGUAAAUGAAGCUUAUUCUAUACUUCUGACUCAUGAGGCUAGGUUAGAGGCUAAUCAAUUGAACUCUAGUAAAGAAGCUAAAGUGAAUUUUGCAGCUAAUGUUGCUCAAACUGGACAGAAUACUAAAUCUGGACAGUAUAAUGCUAAUUGGAACAAAAAUCAAAAUGGUAAUGGUAAUGGAGGCAGAGGAGGUUUUGGUAGAGGUUUUUCACAAGGCCAAGCAAGAGGAAAUUGGAAUAAUGGCUGGAAUGGAGCAUCACCUAGUAACUAUCAAGGUAGAGGUGGUUUUGGUUUUGGAAAUGGAAAUUUUGCAAAACCUGGUGGUUUUCACAAUAGUAAUAGGAGAGGUAGUUCUGAUCUUAACUCUGUUGGAGUAAUUUGUCAGAUCUGUUUCAAACCUAAGCAUACUGCAGCUGAGUGUAGAAAUAGGUUCAAUAGAGAGUUCAUACCUUUCAACUCAUCAUCAGGAUAUAACUCAUAUCAAUAUCCAGUGCCAAGGCCUGCAUAUGCUAACUCAGCACCUAGAGCUGCUUUUAUGGCUGCUUUUGAAGGUGAUUUUGCUGAUCAAGGGUGGUACAUAGACAGUGGUGCAACUCAUCACCUCACCAACAAUCUACAGAAUCUGAGUCUUGCAAAUGAAUACUCAAGUAAUCACUUGCUGCAUGUUGGUAAUGGUCAAGGGCUGCAUAUAUCACAUGUUGGUUACACUGAUCUUCAUACAUCAUUAGACUCAAUCUUACACUUAAAAGAUAUUUUGUUUGUUCCUCAUUUUACCAAAAAUCUUAUAAGCAUCUCAAAGCUACUUGAAGACAACAACUUAACCAUUGAAUUUGUUGCCAAUAUGUGUUUUAUUAAGGACCAGAAGAAGGGAGUGCAUCUUGCUCAAGGGAUUGUUAGAGGAGGGCUAUAUCAGUUAUUGUCAAAAAAGGAUUUCAUUUCCAGUUCUCACAGUCCUUCUCAGAUUCCUAGUUCCAUGCUUUAUGUUUUGAAUAAUUCAGCUUGUAAUCUCUUAGAUGAAGCUACAAAUAAAACUUGUACAAACAAUAUUUUGUCUGCAAAUUUGUUACAUCAAAGGUUUGGUCAUCCCAGCAAACAUGUGUUGAAAUGUAUUCUACCUUCUCUUUCUCUUCCUUGUCCAACAUCAAUGCCUGAUUUUUGUGAUGCUUGUCAAUAUGGUAAAAUCCAUCAGUUCCCCUUUUACUCAACAGGAAUAAAAACAAAAGCUCCUUUAGAGCGAGUCCAUACUGAUCUCUGGGGUCCAGCACCCAUUCCUUCACUACAGGGCUAUAGAUACUACAUAAGUUUUGUAGAUGAUUAUAGUAGGUAUAGUUGGAUUUUUCCUUUAACCCUCAAAUUAGAAGCCUUAGCUACUUUCAAACACUUCAAAACUCUUAUUGAGAAACAAUUUGAUCAUCCUUUAAAGUCACUACAAUCUGAUUGGGGAGGUGAAUACAUAAAUUUUGUACAUUUUCUUCAAGAAGAAGGCAUAGAGCUUAGACAUAGUUGCCCUCAUACACAUCACCAAAAUGGUGUGGUAGAGAGAAGCAUCGCCAUAUUAUAGAAACAGGGCUAACUUUACUUGCUCAGGCAAAAAUGCCCUUAUCUUUUUGGUGGGAAUCCUUUUAUACAGCUUCUUUUCUUAUCAAUAGGCUGCCAACACCUGUUUUGAAUAAUACCUCUCCUUAUACCAAGCUCUAUGGCAGAAAGCCUGAUUAUCAUUUUCUCAAAACCUUUGGCUGUUCAUGCUUUCCUUUUCUCAGACCUUACAGUCAACACAAGUUUAACUUUUAUACACAAAAAUCUCUCAUGAUUGGUUAUAGUCCUCUUCACAAAGGCUAUAAGUGUCUUGAUCCCACUGGCAAAACUUAUAUUGCCAGACAUGUUAAGUUUAAUGAAUCUGAAUUUCCAUAUUCAAAUCUUUUUCCUUCAUCAGAUCCAAAAGUGUCCUCAGUUCAGCAAAGUCAUUUCUCUAAUCCAUUCAUUACUUCCACAAUCCUACUCACUGAUAGUAACUGUGCACAGUCUUCUCUCAAUCCUCCAGCUCAAGAUGCAGGCCCUGAUUCAGGUAUCUUACAGACACUCUCUUCGUCUCAUUCUUCAGACACUUCUUCAUACAGUACACCACAUCAACCAUCUUCUUCUGUUCAGUUGCCAUCAAUAUCCACUCUUGCACCUCAACCAGCUCAAAAUAUUCAUCCCAUGCUCACUAGAUCCAAAGCUGGUGUAUUUAAGCCUAAAACUUACCUGGCUGUUACUCAGCACCUUGAACCACAUUCAGUUAAAGCAGCAUUGGUUGACAUCAAAUGGAGACAAGCUAUGCAGGCUGAGUUUGAUGCCUUGCAGAAAAAUAGCACCUGGUGUUUAGUUCCUAGAGAAAAAGCUGGGAAAAUUGUAGGCAACAAAUGGGUUUUCAGGGUGAAGUAUAAUCCUGAUGGUAGUAUAUCCAAGUAUAAAGUAAGGCUGGUGGCCAAAAGCUUCCAUCAAACACAAGGAGUAGAUUUCUUUGAAACAUUCAGUCCGGUUGUAAAGCCUUGCAUAAUAAGAAUCAUUUUGGGUCUUGCUGUCAUGAAUCACUGGCCUAUUCAACAGCUGGACAUUAAUAAUGCUUUUCUUAAUGGCAUCCUUACUGAAGAAGUCUUUAUGCAUCAGCCUGAAGGUUUCAUUCAUCCUCAAUUUCCAUCUCAUGUCUGCAAGCUUACCAAAGCUCUCUAUGGUCUUAAGCAAGCUCCAAGAGCUUGGUAUGACAGAUUGAAAUGUUCUUUGUUGAAUUGGGGUUUCAUUGCUUCAAAAUCUGAUACUUCAUUGUUCAUUUUUCACAAAGCAGGAGAUAUAGUUGUUAUUUUAGUUUAUGUAGAUGACAUAUUAGUGACUGGUUCUAAUGAUCAGCUUGUUGAAAAAGUUAUUCAUCAUUUAAGCUCAGAGUUUGUUUUUAAGGAUCUUGGGGAAUUCAACUACUUUCUUGGUCUUGAGGUUACACCUUCAGUUGAAGGUUUGCAUAUUUCUCAAACAAAAUAUGUAGGUGAUAUUCUCAAGAAAGCACAGAUGAUUGAGAGCAAAGGUUGUUCCACUCCCAUGAGUUCUACAGAGAAGCUAGUCAAAGACAAGGGUGUUGCUUUUGAAAAUCCCUCUCUCUAUAGAAGUAUAGUUGGCUCAUUAUAGUAUCUUACCCUUACUAGACCUGAGAUUGCCUUCACAGUGAAUAAACUGAGUCAGUUUCUUGCCAAUCCAUCAGUGCUUCAUUGGCAAGCAUGUAAACGAGUUCUGAGAUAUUUACAAUGUACAGCUAACCUUGGUUUACAGUUUUAUGCCUCUAGUUCACUCACACUUUCAGCUUUCUCAGAUGCUGAUUGGGGCUUAGAUUUAGAUGACAGAAAGUCAAUUGGGGGAUAUUGCAUUUAUCUAGGGAAUAAUCUGGUCUCAUGGUCAUCUAAGAAACAACCUAUAGUUUCAAGAAGCACAGCUGAGUCAGAAUACAGAGCAUUAACAUUGGCUGUCUCUGAAACUUUGUGGAUCACUUACUUGCUGCAAGAGUUGAAAGUAACUCUAGCACAAACUCCAGUUAUCUACUGUGAUAACAAGAGUGCAGAAGCUUUAGCAAGCAAUCCCAAGUAUCACUCCAGAACCAAACAUAUUGAGUUAGAUUUACACUUCAUUCGGGAUCAUAUAGCUCAGAAAGAACUGCAGAUUAGUCAUGUUCCCAGCUAUGAUCAAGUGGCAGACAUUUUUACAAAACCUUUAGCUUUUGAUCAAUUUAACUAUCUAAGGUCCAAGCUCAAUGUCCUUUCACGACCUUGAGCUUGAAGGAGGCUGUUAAGAUAGUCAAAUUGAUUAGUCACGUGCUAGUUAAUAUAGUUAGUUAAAUAGAAUCUGUUAUACAUGAUGACGUGGCUGCUUAUGUGGCAAAUUAGUUUUAGUUACUAGCUCAGCUGAUUUGCAUGUAAAUAGAAUGAAGAAUAUUCCAGAUUGUAGUAUAUAAACAUGUGUAACUAAUCAAACGAUUUAAUGAAUAAGAUUCAAGUUCUUUCUUCUCUGCUUCUCUGAUUUUUCCUUUUCAUUUUCUUAGUAAACAAACAAACUCAUCUUUCUUAAUUCCUUGAAUCCAGCAAAUUAGUUGGUGAGGUCCCUCAUGUGCUCAUGAACCUAACACAACUUACUCAGUUAUCUCUAGCUUUUAAUCACCAAUUAACUGGUCCGAUUCCAUAUUGACUGAUGAACCUAAACGAACUAUCCCUUCUCAGCUUCAGAGGUAGCAAAUUGAGUGGCCAUAUCCCCAUUGAAAUUUCGAACCUAACCCAAUUGCAGAAACUGUAUUUUGCAGGGAAACAAUUGGAAGGUUCUAUUCCUAGCUCGUUCUUUGAGCUCAAGAAUCUUGUGGAGCUUGAACUCGCCGGCAACAAAUUGAGUGGCACAUUGGAUAUAAACAAGUUCCUACUUAACAUGAAAAGUUUAGAAGUGUUAGUUCUCUCGUCAAACAAAUUGUCACUGCUCACCGAUACCACUGUGAAUACCUAUUCCAAGAACUUCAGUGUUAUAGGCUUACGUUCAUGCAACCUUAGUGAGUUCCCACAUUUUCUGUACAACCAAAAACUCCUGGAUUCCUUGGAUCUUUCAUCCAACAGGAUAGCUGGUCAAGUGCCUGGAUGGUUUUUAAACAAUGUAAGUGUAGGCGGUUUUGAUUAUUUGAACCUUUCUCACAAUCUAUUGACAGGCUUUGGGCAGGUUCUUCCAUGGGCUUAUAUGAUUACUUUAGAUCUUAGUUUUAACAAGUUGCGAGGACCACUCCCACUUCCAAUAUCAGUGUCCACCUCAUCCUAUCUAGUUUCAAACAAUCAGCUGACAGGGGAAAUUCCACCAUCAAUUUGCAGUUUGAAUCGUCAAUUUGUAAUUUGAAUCGUCUUUAUGCACUUGAUCUGUCUCACAAUAACUUAAGUGGCAUGCUUCCAGGAUGUUUGGGAAAUUCCAGUGUUCAGCUUUUGGUAUUAAAACUGCAAGGUAACAAGUUCCACGGAUUCAUUCCUGAAACCUUCAGCAAAGGAACAAAUAUGAGGAUGAUUGAUUUCAACAGCAACUUACUGCAAGGGAGAGUGCCCAAAUCGCUAGCCAAUUGCGUAAAGCUCAAAUUUCUUAAUCUUGGGGAUAAUCAAAUCACGGACUUCUUUCCUUCUUGGUUAGGAACUCUUCCAGAGUUAGAGGUGCUCAUCUUGAAAUCCAACAACUUUCAUGGAGUAAUAGAGGAGCCCAAAGCAUGUUUUGAGUUUGUUAAGUUGCGUAUCAUUGAUCUCUCCCAUAACAGAUUUGCAGGUAAUCUCCCUUCAAAGCACUUCGAGUGUUGGAAUGCCAUGAAAGAUGUCAAUGCAAAUAACCUAACAUAUUUGCAAAAUCGUCUGCUGGGACCCGGCGGUUAUCCUGCGCUUACUUAUUAUGGGUUUUCUUAUGACUCGCUGACAUUGAGUAACAAAGGCACAGAGUUGGAAUAUGAGAAGCUCUCAAAUCUGAUCACAGCAAUUAUUCUCUCUAACAACACUUUUGUAGGAAAGAUUCCAACAUCAAUUGCUAAUUUGAAGGGGCUUCGGACUCUCAACCUUUCCAACAACAAUCUCCAAGGUCAUAUUCCACCAACUUUGGGUAACCUAAUUGUGAUCGAGUCAUUGGACCUCUCCAAUAACAAGCUCUCUGGACAAAUUCCUCAACAACUUGGAGAGUUGACGACACUUGAAGUCUUUGAUGUAUCCGAUAACCUGCUCACAGGGCCAAUACCACACGGGAAACAAUUCAACACAUUUGGGAAGGGUUCAUUUGAUGGAAAUCCAGGAUUGUGUGGACAACCUUUGUCAAAAAAAUGUGACAACUCUGCGACUUCACCACCAGAAGAAGACCCACGCUCAGAAUCUCUAUUUGCAUUUGGCUGGAAGACAGUUCUGAUCGGAUAUGCAAGUGGGACAGUAAUAGGAGUGGUACUCGGGCACAUCUUCAGCACAAGAAAGUAUGAAUGGCUUGCCAAGACCUUUCGACUGCAACAGAAAACUAAUGGGAAGAGGAGGAGAGUCAGCAGACAAAGGCAACGGAUGUAAUUAACCUUUUUUUCUUUUUCUUUUACGAAAGGCCUACUUUGUUGGGCUUUAAAUUUCUUUUUCCUUCUUUUCUCCGAAGUUUAAUAAACCUUGUAUUAUUGUACAUAUACUAUGUUGUUAAUGCAAGUGGGCUAAUAAUUUGGUGGUUCUUGGCCACUUUACCUUCAGCAUAGUGCACGGGCAAAUAUGAAUUGGUCGUCUGCUUCUUUUUUAGUUUUAAUUCAGUACCUUGUUAUUAUCCUGAUUUGAUUGAAUGAUCAUGUCUUUAAUUAACACAAUUUACACUAAUAGUUGUAAAAGAUCAGUGCAGCAUUCUCUUUUUCCGAAUUUGAAAGGAUGUGAUUUCGAAAAAAAAUCAUAUAACUGAUGAUCAGGUCCUACUGAUUUUGGCAUCGGCACAAAGGUCGGGGAAUUUUUUGUGUUUUACUUUUCAUAAUUUCCAUUAUAUAUAUUCUCUAGUUUUAUGGGGCAAUAACACCGAAAUCAGCUAAAAAAUCGCUUAAAAUUAAAAAUUAAUUUCUCAAAGAGUUCUCUAUCAAUGCAGAUAGAAUUAAGUUUUUGAAGCAUCAAAAACUUAAUUCGAGUGCCUGCUGUAAAAUAAAAUCAUUAGUCAUCAAAUAUGUGCCAAUAAGAUAAUUGGUAAACAUUAACUAUCAUCAAAAUUCAAUCACAAAGUUAGAAGUGGCGCAAAAGGAAUUUGAAAUAGAAAUACCUUUAACAAGUUGUUGAAACGUAAAAAUAUAGUAAACAUGAGUGUUGCUUAUUUUAGCCUCUGUUUGAUAAAAUUUCUCAAGUAGAAAUUAUUUAAUUAGAGCUUUUACAUUACCAAAAGAAAAAAGUACUUACCAAAAAUAUUUGAGUUGUUUGGUUGUCAAAGAGAGAUGUUAUAAAAAAAUAUACAAUUACUUUAAUAGAUAAGUUUUUUAAAAUUAUGUUAUGAAAGGAUGAAAUAAGAUUAUUAAAUAAAUUAAGGAUACUUUAGAUAGUUUAACUCUUUAAAAAAAAUAAUUUACAACCUCUACUUCCAAAAUCAUAAAAUUUAAACUUUUAUUAAUGGAGGCAAAAUAGAUUAUCUCCAAAAUCUCUACUCAAAAUAUAACUAAACAAUACUAAAUUAAAAAAUAUAUAUAGAAUUAAAUGAAUACUUUUGACUAUUGGAUAAGUCAAAUGAAACAAAAAUAUGUACUGCUUUUUCAGAGCAGCGCCAGCUUUCAAAGCUUAGGCAAAUGGGUGAAGUUUUAAGUUUCAACCCCAAUCAUUAAGUUGAUGUAGUUAAGAUCAAUGUUUGACUCUCCAUUACCAAAAGCACAUUUUAUCAAUGCAUGCAAUAGUAGUGCAUCCAGUUGUCUUUGUAAUUCUUAAUAUUUUCUAAGAAAUUUAGCAGCCUUAAUUUAAACUAAAACUGUCGUGAUUUCGGAUAAUUUCUGGUUAACAUUAUGGACGAGUGGAAGUACCACAGUAAGAGUAUGUGAUCAACUUCAUAAUUUGUCUCCAGGUCUUACUUAUUACUUAAUUCUGGCGCACGCCAUUGACAAUUAAAAUUAAAGAAUCCAUGUGGUCAGGGGUCAGGGAUAAUCAUAAUUCAGUGUAGACAAAAAGCAUGGUUAAUAGCCAGCAAGGGAGAAAGGCUAGAUUGGUUUUCUUUUUCUUUUUUCUUUUAAAUGUAAUCUUUCAAUUUUAUCCUCCAUAAUAAUAUAUCUAUAUAAUUUUUUCGAAAAUUAUCUCUACCCCACUUUUGUUUUGUCAUAUGUAUAAUCUCAUCACCUCAAAAUUUUGCCAUAUUCUUCACACCACCUUUAUUUUUAAGUUUUUUUCAAUAAACUACUUUGACACUAUAAAAUGAUCAUUUUACCCUUAAAUGAAUGAAACAACUAUUUUAUUAUACAAAAUUUUAAAAAAUAAAAAAAAAAUUAUAAUUACAAGAAUACCCCUGAAUUUAAUAAAAUAAAUCUCAAAUCUAAUAUGUUAAUUUUUUUAUAAUUACAAUUUCAUUUAAAAAUUAUCAUGUUAAUUUUUUGUAAUUAUAAUUUCAUUCAAUUUCUAUAGAGAAGUUUCUUAAUAUUAAUUAUAGGGAAGUUUAUAAUAAUUAUAGGGAGUUUUUCUCUCCAUGUUAAUUUUGGUAAACUUCCCUAUACCUGAUUUAAUUAUAAAAAUUAAAUGAAAUUAUAAUUACAAAAAAUUAUGAUUGCAAGGUGUUAAUUUUUUAUAAUUAUAAUUUCAUUUAAAAAUUAUCAUCUAAGAUUUUGAGAUUUGUUUGUUUUAUUGAAUUUAGAGGUAUUCCUAUAGAUAUACUUUUUUAUUUUUUAAAAUUUUCUCGAAUAAAAUAAUCUUUUAAUUCAUUUAGGGGUAAAAUGAUUUUUUUUAGUGUAAAAGUGAUCAAUUGAUAUAAGUUUAGAAAUAAGAUAGUGAAAAAAAUAAUUUAAAAUUUUUUAAUGAUUAAAUAUACAUACGACAAAAUAAAAGUGGUUCAAAGAUAAUUUUCGUAACUUUUUUUUCUUAAUUUAUAUGAUGUUCUGGACCAAGCGCUUGUUUACAAAAUUUUGCCAAAUUCACCGAAUUAUACUAACAAAAAAGGACCAUUUUCGUGACUAGCUUUAUUUUGAACCCAUGACAAUGGCUCUCUAUUCCAACUCUCGCAUCCACAAACCAUCGUUUUUUUUUUUUUUUUUGUUCUUCCAAAUCUCUAGAUACAACUCAUAGAAAGAACCUAAAAUUUACAUAAAAGAACGGCAUGUGGUUGAUAGAUGCCCAGCACAAUCCCAUAUUUAAUUUUCUUAAGCAACCUUUGUACGUAUAAUAAUUUUGUUCCAACCAAGUUUGGGGGUGAAUUCUCAAAAGCCAUUUGGGUUGAUGCUAUCUCCUCUUGAUAGUAUAGACAAAAGCAUGGUCAAUAGCCGAAUAGGAAGAAUACGACACUCAGAAAGAACUUAAAAUUUUUUAAUCCUAAAAGAAGAUUUGAUUGUGAAUUAAUCCCAGUAACAUCACAUUUGGCACCGCCUAUAAAAACAUCUCAAUUCUAUGCCUGACCCUCCAAACAAAAUCCUCCAGCCUUCCUAUUAUAGAAAGUUUUAAAAGGAAUUGUGUUUAAUAAGAAAUUAUGGGGUUAUUCUUAUUUUCCUUCACUUUAAUGCACAUACUUCUUCUGCUCUCAAUGUUUCAGCACACGCUUGCUGACUUGCAGCCACUCUACCAGGAUGACGAGCGUUCUGCCUUGCAGCAAUUCAAGCAAAGCCUUACCGUCGUUCAGUGUUCUUUUGAUGAUUAUUCUUCAGCUUAUCCCAAGGUUGCAUCAUGGAGCCAGGAAGAAGAAAAUAGUGACUGCUGCUUAUGGGACGGCAUCAAAUGCAACGAAGACACUGGUCAUGUGAUCAGGCUUGAUCUCACAAGCAAUUGCCUCUAUGGUUCUAUCAACUCUAGCAGCAGCCUCUUUCAACUUUUCCAUCUGGAAUGGCUUGUUCUCUCGAAUAACCACUUCAAUUUUUCUAAAAUCCCUUCAAAAAUCAAGAAUCUGUCAAGACUAAUAGCUCUAUCUCUCUAAUUCUUCGUUUUCUGGUCAAAUACCAGCAGAGUUGCUAGAGCUCUCCAAGUUGGAGAGUCUUGAUCUUGUUAGAGAUAUAAAUGCAAAGAAUAUUCUCGUGAUGGUUCUGCUGAUGUGGCAGUUGAGUAAGCAAGGUUGUUAUUGUUACUUUGUAAGUUUGUUAUAGAGCUGGGAAAAUUAGUUAAUUACAACUUAUUCUUUACACGUGUGUGAGCAAAUGUAGAAGGUUCUGGAUCUCAGUAUAUAAGCUCACUUUCUGUACUCAUAAUAAGUUGAAUAAGAUUUGAUCUGUUUUCUUAUAUUUUCUCUUAAUGCUCAUUAAAUUUUCCAUCACUUUCUCUGCAACCAAACAAGCACAAAAUAGCUUGAUUAAACUUCAAUUUGGUAUCAGAGCUAGAUUUAGUCUAAUCUCAUGGCGUUAUCAAGCUUGAACACAAACAUCUCUUCUUCGGCAACAACCUUUACCUUCACAACUCCAAUAAAACUUGACCGAUCAAAUUACUUAAUCUGGAAAUCUCAAAUCCUAUCUUCAGUUCGAGCAAAUGAACUUGAGAGUGUGCUUGAUGGAUCCAGAAUCUGUCCAGAUCAAUUUCUCUCAAGCACUCAAGGAAAUUCAGAUGCUAUCUUCAAUGCUUUUGUAAGUUCAACUGUUGCUUCACGAGAGAAUCCUAAGUUUACUUUGUGGAGAAAGCAAGAUCAGAUGUUACUGAGCUGGCUAUUAUCCUCUAUCAGCGUUGAAAUCCUCAGUCUUGUGGUAAACUCUAAAACUUCUUAUGAAAUGUGGUCUAGUUUAGAGCAACAAUUUGGAUCUGAAACUGCUGCUAAGAAAGUUCAUCUCAAAAUGAUGUUGAAUAAUCUGAAGAAAGGAUCUAUGACUAUGACAGAAUAUUUUAGUAAGUUGAAGUCAGUUACUGAUGAGCUUGCUAUUGCUGGAAGUCCUAUUAGUUCUUUGGAUUUUAUAACUAAUCUCAUCUCUGGAUUAGGUCAGCCUUAUUAUCCAGUAGUUGUGUAUAUUGAAGCAAAUGUUUUAAAAAUGAGUAUUAAUGAGGCUUAUUCAAUGUUGUUGACACAUGAGGCACGUUUAGAAAGUAAUCAAUCUAAUGCUUUCAAGGAAGUGAAACAGAACUAUGCUGCUAACUUAGCUCAGGCUGGAAACAAUCAAAAGAAAAUUAAUAAUCAGGGAGGCUAGAAUAACAAUAAUCAAGGAGGCUGGAAUGGAAACACUGGAAACAAAACUGGAUUUAAUAAUUGGAAUGGAAAUUUUACAAACAGAGGAGGUUUCAAUCCAGGAAGGGGACAAAAUUCAGGCAGAGGACAAUGGAAUAAUAACUGGAAUAACUGGAAUGGAAAUCAAUGUAGAGGUAAUUUUGCUGGUGCUGCUGGAAAAUUUUUUGGUGGAUUUCCUGGUGGUUUUAAUGGAUUUGGAAGAGGAGGAGGCAAAGGAAGUAUUGUUUGUUAUAUUUGUUUCAAGCACAAUCAUACUGCAGCUUAUUGUAAAGACAUAUUUAACAGAAACUUUGUUCCAAAUUUUUCUGUGCAAGAGAAUUUUCCAGGUCAGAAUCAAACUUCCAAAGCUGCUUUCAUGGCUACAUUAGAAGGAGUUGCUGACCAAGGAUGGUAUCUGGAUAGUGGAGCAACACAUCAUCUUACAAACAAUGUGGAGAACUUAGCUGAAGGUAAACCUUAUUUUGGAUCUCAGUUGCUGUUAGUUGGUAAUGGACAAGGUCUUAGAAUCACUUACAUAGGCAAUAUAUGUCUCUUUACAUCAUUAGGUAAUCAGUUAAACCUUUCUAAUGUUCUGUGUGUUCCCAAAAUUACCAAAAAUCUCAUUAGCUUGUCUAAACUUCUCUCUGACAAUCAUAUAACCAUUGAAUUUGUUUCCAAUCUUUGUUUCAUUAAGGACAAGAUGCAAGAAACUUUGCUGGCACAGGGGAUUGCUGAAGAUGGUCUCUUUAAUCUACUGUCUCAAGAUACACCUAUUCCUGAUUCUAAAGCUUUGGGUUUAAAACCUAGUUCAAUGUUGUCUGUCUUUUCAAAUAAAAAGAUUGUACACUCUUUGAAAGAGUUGAAUAACCAAACAAAUGUCUGUUCCAAUUUGAUCAAUUCCAAUAAUGAGAAUUCUGUCAGUUUUUUAGCUUCCAGUAGUGAGUCUAUGCAGUUGUUGCACAAUAGGUUUGGUCAUCCAACCAAACAUGUUUUGCAAACAAUAAUGAAAAGUCUCCCCAUGCAUUCAAUCCAUUCUCAAUCUCUUAACUUUUGUGAUGCUUGUCAAUAUGGCAAAUUACAUCAAUUUCAUUUUCCAGUCACUGAUAUAAAAUUAAAAUUCCCUCUCCAACUCUUAUAUGCUGAUUUAAGGGGUCCAACUUCUGUGUUGUCCAUGGAUGGAUACAAGUACUAUAUUUCUUUUGUUGAUGAUUUCACCAGAUAUUGUUGGAUAUUUCCACUCACACUCAAAUCUGAGGCAUUUGACACCUUCAAACACUUCAAGUCCCUUGUAGAAAAACAGUUUUCUUUAUCCAUCCAAACACUACAAACUGAUAUGGGGGGUGAGUUUAUAGCUUUCAAAUCAUUUCUACAACAAAAAGGUAUUCAGUUUAGAUAUAGUUUCCCCCAUACUCACCAUCAAAAUGGUGUGGUUGAAAGGAAGCAUAGGCAUAUUGUUGAAACUGGACUUACACUCUUAGCUCAAGCUCACUUACCUCUCUCUUUUUGGUGGGAAGCUUUUCAUACAGCCACCUACUUAAUUAAUAGAAUGCCAACACCUGUUCUCAACAAUUUCUCUCCUUUUCAGAAACUAUACAAUCAGCUUCCAGAUUACAAAUUUCCUAAAGUGUUUGGUUGUUUAUGUUUUCCUUUUCUUCGACCUUAUAAUCAGCACAAGCUAGAUUUUCAUACUCAGAAAUGUGUCUUUAUUGGUUACAGUCCCAUUCAUAAGGGCUACAAGUGUCUUGAUCGAACUGAGAAAGUUUUUGUUGCCAGACAUGUUACUUUCAAUGAACAGGAAUUUCCAUAUUCUGAACUGUUUUUGAAAAACAAGUCAAACAUCUUCUCUCAUUCUGAUUUCUCCACUCCAUCUUCAGUUCAUUUUUCUCUUCCUCAAACACCUGUUCUCAGUAACAGUAGCAAUGAAGAGCCAUCAGCUAUGUCUCCAGUCCUGCUUUGUCUUCUGCAUCAGAGUCUCAUUCCUUGCAAAAUUCUUUUCAUUCACAAUCCCUUGAUCUAUCUUCAAGACUUUCAAAUUCUUCUCCACCAGUACUCUCUACUCAUCAUAUGGUUACCAGAUCUAAAGCUGGUAUCUACAAACCCAAAACCUAUCUAGCUGAUUCUCAAGACCUUAAACCAUCCAAUGUCAAAACAGCAUUGGCAGAUCCUAGGUGGUACUCAGCUAUGAAAGAAGAAUUUGAAGCUCUCCAAAGAAAUCAAACUUGGUCAUUAGUGCCUCCAGAAACAGCUGGGAAAAUUGUUGGAGAUAAAUGGGUUUACAGAGUCAAGUAUAAUGUUGAUGGAAGUAUUUCCCGGUAUAUAGCUCGGUUGGUUGCCAAGGGAUAUCAUUAAACUUAUGGGGUUGAUUUCUUUGAGACCUUUAGCCCUGUGAUCAAGCCUUGUACUGUCAGAAUCAUUUUAAGCUUAGCAGUCAUGAAUCAUUGACCUAUUAAACAGCUGGAUGUAAAUAAUGCUUUUCUAAAUGGCAUUCUUGCUGAAGAUGUGUACAUGCAUCAAACACAAGGGUUUGUUGAUUCCACCUAUCAUUCUUAUGUUUGUAAGCUUAACAAGGCAUUAUAUGGUCUUAAACAGGCUCCCAGAGCCUGGUAUGACAGAUUAAAGAAGUCACUGGUUCAAUGGGGUUUUCAUGUCUCAAACUCUGACACUUCUCUAUUCAUUAAGCAUGCAGGGAAAGAUAUACUGCUCAUUCUCAUUUAUGUGGAUGAUAUUUUAGUCACAGGCUCAAAUUCGAAGCUCAUUGGCAAUGUUAUUCAGCAGUUACACUCAGAGUUUGCCUUGAAGGAUCUGGGGGAUUUUCAUUAUUUUCUUGGUAUAGAAGUUACUCCAUCUGUUCAAGGUAUUCAUCUCUCUCAAACUAAAUAUAUUGGUGAUAUUCUUCAAAGGGAAAAUAUGCUAGACAGUAAAGGUUGUGCUACACCUAUGAGUACUUCUGAAAAACUGCACAAGGAUAAAGGUGCUGCAUUUAAAAAUCCAUCUUUAUACAGAAGUAUUGUGGGCUCUCUUCAAUAUGUUUUGUUAACUAGACCUGACUUAGCUUUCACAGUCAACAAGCUUAGUCAGUUUUUAUCAGCUCCCACCAUACUUCAUUGGCAAGCAUGCAAGAGGGUGUUGAGAUAUCUUCAAAGUAUAGCUGAUUAUGGUCUUCAGUUCUUCAACUUUGGUUCUUUAACUUUAAUAGCCUACUUUGAUGCUGAUUAGUGUUGUGCAAAUUUUAAUGUACUCGCAAGCGCACGAAUCUAUUGUAGUAUAGAUCUAUGGUGACGAGUGUCGAUCCCACGAGGAGGUGGAUUUUAAUUGUGUAGAAUUAAUUUUGUAAAUGGGUUGUUGGAUUUAUGGUGGAAAUGAUUUGGUAUAUGCUAAAACUUAAAUUAAAAUGGCGAGAAUAAAUUCUAAAAUUGGAAUUGCAAUGGCGAGAAUAAAUUGAAGAGAAUUCUAUUGAAAUGACGUACUUGGGUAUCUGGAUCCGUAUCAACAUGCAUCAUGGGCUAAAUAUUCCUUAUUAAUACCAAUUAAAUCAUGAGGGGGGAAUCCACACCGCAUGAACCACGCUCUAAUCAAUAUGGUGCUAAGGGCUUAUCGUGCCAAAUAAUAAUAACCUUGUACUAGAGGGCCGGUGUAACCAAGGCGGUACUAGACAAGAUUAGUAUUAUUUGUCGACGAGAAGUCAAAACAUCCACAAAAACUAGAGGGGAUGAGAAAAUAAAUUUACCAAAUAAAGCCCAUGACACAUGUUGAGACUUCACCUUCAACCCAAGCUUGAAAGAAAAUUAGCCACUCAUAAUUGAACUAGGGGCAAAAUGGGAAUUUAUUAAAAUACGAAGAAAAUACAAGAUGGAGAAGGAAUUACAGAAAAUGGAUCCCAAAAAUGGAUUCAGAGAUAUCCAAUUAGGGGGGGGAGACCCCCUUUUUAUAGAUACAUGGAGUAAAUCAUGGCCAUCGGAUUAAAAACAGUUUGGACGCUCAGGAUUGCGCCAUGUCAUCAGUCAACAGUCCACGGUUUGACCACGCGGAUGAACAGUAACACGGUUUGACCCGACUUUGAACAGUAACGCGGUUUGACCCGGAUGAACAGUAACACGGUUUGGUUGAAAAUAAUCCUGUGUGAUGCAUGCACCGUACACGAGAUUUUUCGUCCACUGAUAUGCUGCCACGUCACCAUCAACAGUACAUAAGAAUUUUAGUCCAACAGGAUCGUGACACCUCAUCAGUCAAUGCCACAUCAUCGGUCAAUGCCACGUCAUCGAUCCGUCUAUGUGAACAGUGUCGUGAACAGUAACGUAGACAGUACCGUAUACGUGAAUAGUACCGUACAUGUGAAUAGUGCCAUUUUUCCUUUUAUGCUCCUCCUAAGGUUUUCGACCGUCCCGAGUUCAAAAGUGAUGUCCGUUUUGCCGUCUGAUCUCUCCUUUAUUGUGAAAUGGCUAUACUGCCCCUAAAAUACAUAAAAUACUUAAUUAAAAUAACACACACGUAAUUACAUCACAAGAAGGUUAAAUACAUAAAAGUAAGGGUUGUUAGUAAGACUUGAAAUGUAAAAUGACGGUUUUCUCCUUUAUAAAUAUGCAUUUUCUAACACUCAACAAUUAGGGCUCAGAUCCUGAUGAUCGCAGAUCUGUUGGAGGUUAUUGUGUGUUUUUGGGUUCCAAUCUUAUCUCUUAGUCCUCUAAGAAGCAGCCCAUUGUGUCCAGAUCAUCAGCUGAGUCUGAGUAUCGGGCUCUUGCUUUGGCUACUUCAGAGGUUCUCUGGAUUACAUAUUUAUUUCAAGAGCUUAACAUAUCUUUUGAUCAGACUCCUCUUCUGCAUUGUGAUAACAAAAGUGCUAAACCUCUGGCUAGUAAUCCUAAAUAUCAUGCUCGUACUAAGCAUAUUGAGUUAGAUAUUCAUUUUCUCAGAGAGCAUAUUGCUCAACAGCAACUUUCAGUCACUUAUGUUCCGAGUUCAGAACAAUUAGCAGAUGUUCUUACUAAGCCCCUCUAUUUCGAUCAGUUUGCUUAUUUGCGCAGCAAGCUUAAUGUCAUUUCACGACAUCAAGCUUGAGGGGGGAUGUUAGAGAUAUAAAUGCAAAGAAUAUUCUUGUGAUGGUUCUGCUGAUGUGGCAGCUGAGUAAGCAAGGUUGUUAUUGUUAGUUUGUAAGUUUGUUAUAGAGCUAAGAAAAUUAGUUAAUCACAGCUUAUUCUUUACACGUGUGUGAGCAAAUGUAGAAGGUUCUGGAUCUCAGUAUAUAAGCUCACUUUCUGUACUCAUAAUAAGUUGAAUGAGAUUUGAUCUGUUUUUCUAAUAUUUUCUCUUAAUGCUCAUUAAAUUUUCCUUCACUUUCUCUACAACCAAACAAGCACAAAUAGCUUGAUUAAACUUCAAUUGAUCUAUCAUUUAAUAAUUUUCAUUUGAAGCUCCAAAACCCGAGUCUAGCAAAUCUAGCAGAGAAGUUAGCCAACCUGAAAGUACUUCACCUUGGACAAGUCAAUAUUGCUUCUACAGUUCCUCAUGCAUUGGCAAAUCUAUCAUCUUUGUUUUUCUUAUCUCUCACUGAUUGCCUAUUGCAAGGUGAAUUCCCCACAGAGAUUUUCCAGUUACCCAAACUUGCAUUUCUUACUCUGACGUAUAAUCACUAUCUCACUGGGUAUUUGCCAGAAUUUCAGAAUAGCAGUGUCCUCAUAGAUUUGAGGCUUUCACAUACGCGAUUUUCAGGUAAGAUUCCAGAUUCAGUAGAAAAUCUUGAAUCCUUAGAUUCCUUGGGUAUUAGAGGUUGCUCAUUUUCAGGAAAACUUCCUCCUUCAGUUGGUAAUCUUACGAAGCUCAACCAUCUAUACCUUUCUGGUAAUGAUUUUUCGGGUGAGUUGCCUGCUUUCUUGGGAAAACUUUCUUCUUUGAAAAUGCUAGAGAUCAUUUUAUGCAACUUCUCUGGCAAAGUUCCGGAUUCACUUGGUAACCUUAUUUGUUGUCUUGGAUCCCUAAACUUAACCAACUCACUUAUUUGGACCUUUUAGGGAGCAAAAUAACUGGUGAUAUCUUAUGUCUGCUCUCGAAUUUUUCUGAACAAAACUCUUAUUCGUUGUCUUGCAUCCCUAAACUUAACCAACUCACUUAUUUGGACCUUUCAGGGAGCAAAAUAACUGGUGAGAUCUUAUGUCUGCUCUCGAAUCUAACAGAACUUGCUCAAAUAAGUUUGGCUCAUAACCAAUUAAUUGGUCCAAUCCCCUUUUGAUUUAUGAACCUGAACAAGUUAUCAACUAUGUACUUACAUUAUAAUCAACUGACUGGCCAUAUUCCAGUUGAAGUUAGAAAGCUAAACCAAUUGCAGAUCCUGCGUUUGGCGGAGAAUCAAUUGGAAGGCUCUGUUCCUAACUCUAUCUUUGAGCUAAGGAAUCUUCAAGCGCUUGACCUUUCCUACAACAUUUUGAGUGGCACAGUGGAUUUAAACAUGUUCCUUCUUAACUUGAAAUCUUUAACAUCAUUAGUUCUCUCGUCAAACAAGUUUUCAUUGCUCACUGGAACCAAUGACAGUACUAAUUUGCCAAAUUUCACUGUAAUAGGAUUCAGGUCAUGCAUCAUUAGCGAGUUCCCAUAUUUUUUGCACAACCAAGAUCAAUUAGUUUCUCUGGAUCUUUCCUCCAACAAGAUAGCUGGCCAAGUACCCCAAUGGUUGUUAAACGUAAGCACAAAGAGUUUGGAAUAUUUGAACUUUUCUGACAACCUAUUGUCGGGAUUCGGGCAGGAUCUCUUUGUUCUUCCAUUGUCUAAAAUGAAUACUUUAGACCUUGGGUUUAAUAAGCCCAAAGGACCGCUCCUAGUUCCGUCAUCAGUGUCAAUCUAUUCCUAUCUAGUUUCAAACAAUCAGUUGACCGGUGAAAUUCCAAUCCAAAUAUGUAGUUUGAAUGGUCUUCACGCUCUUGAUUUGUCGUACAACAACUUAAGUGGCAUGCUCCCAGAAUGUUUGGGUAAUUUCAGUGUUGAGUUGUCAGCACUAAAACUGCAAGCUAACAACUUUUAUGGAAUCAUCCCUCAAACCUUCAUGAACGGAACAAAUCUGAUGAUGAUUGAUUUUAGCAACAAUUCAUUGCAAGGAAGAGUACCUAAAUCUCUAGCCAAUUGUGUGAAGCUAAAAUUUCUUAAUCUUGGGGAUAACCAAAUCACCGAUGUCUUCCCUUCUUGGUU